GCGGUAGUGCUGCUUCUUCUAGGGUUGUAUCUCCGCCUCUGUAUCGGGAAUCUCCUUGGUGAGUGCUCUUGCGGAGGGGGACGACGACGGCGAUGGGGGGCUUCGAGCAGCAGGUGAAGGACAGGGCGAAGGAGCUCACGGGCCUGUUCAAGAAGGGCUUCAAGAUCGUGGGGGAUUCCUGCAAGAAAGGCUGGUCCAAGGUCAAGAACAUCCGCCGCUGAUCUAUACAUGUCCUCCUCCUCCUCCUCCUCCUUCUUCUUCGUCUUUUCUUUUGGUUGGUGUCGUGGGUUUGGCUUUUUCAAUGUAAAGAUCUAGCCUUUAUGUUUACUGUUCUGUUCCCUCUGUUUUAUAGGCCUCUCUCUCUCUCUAUCUCUCUCUCUCUCUCCCUAUCUCUUUGUGUUCUUGUUUUUGGGGGCGUUGGUUUGGCAGUAGUGGUAGGAGCCCUCUUUUGGUCCUCAGAUUAGAUCUGCUCUAGACUGCUUGUGCUUUUGCCGAAAGUGGUUUUCCCGAUGGAUUCUCUAAUGUAUUGUCGUUGAAUUUUGAUGCAAAUCGAUUUUGCUGGCUCUGUUGCUCUGGUGUAAGUAAUCCGCCCCCCGUUUCUUCUCUCUGUUAAUCGAUAUAAGUGGGAUUUUGCAUGUUCUUGCGAAUGAAGAACGGUGAAGAAGAGAUUGCCAAAACCAUUUCGGUGACUCCUGCUGAUAGAUUGCUGCUUGUUGAUAGAAGAAAUUCAAAGGUUUUUGAGUUUUUGGGGUCGUCUAUUGUCGCUGCAUCAGGGCCCUCUUUUUCCUCAAAACCAUCUCUAUUUUCCAAAUUCCUCGGCGCAUGAAUGGGGAAAAAUAGGGGUUUUCGUCAGCACAUCUUCAUCUCGAAAUUUCGAUUUCGCAAAGGGUAAAACAUUAGGGCAGCGUUCUGUAUUUCGUCGAGAAUUUAAUAAAACAUAUUGUCGUUUGGGUAGAAUGAUAUGCGGUAGUCGUGAAUUAAUAAAUAUCUUGACUGUCAAAUGAGUACCAGCCGUUGUUUGUCGAUAAGCCUUGCGAAUGAAUUGAAGAUAUUGUCAAAAUGAAGACACUUAAGUCUUUUUAAAGUCAUAAUCUUACUUGCUUUAGUCAUAAUAUAUUCGUUUAAUCCAAAUAAACGAAAAAUCGAAGAAAAGGAUGUGGGGGAGAAACACCAAAGAAAUUGAGAAGUGAAAUAUAUUUUCUUAGAAUACUCGAGAAGACGGAGACUUGGGAAGUAAAUCGAAAGUGAAAAUGACAGCUCGACCGAAGAAUAAUAAUAAAUCUCGUUUUCAAUUGGAUUUUGACGUGCUACGGCACUUUGUAUAGGGUGAAAAGUCCUUUCGAUUUAGGUAUGCUACGAUAUUCAGUAUAGGAGUAAUGAAAAAAAUUUAAUGUGCAAAAUACCUUUUCACAACAUAGAUUUUACAGAAUCGGUUGGAGGCUUGAAUAAGAAUUUGGUGAGCAUAUUAUACAUAAUAUAAAACUUGAAUUGUUAAAAUUUAUUAUACUCCGAUUUCAUUUGUUUCAGAAAAAAUUAAUAAUUUUAAAAAUAUUUUCUUAAAAUGUGAAGUUGUAUCGUUUAUAAGAAUGGAUGAAUGAAAAAUAUUUUCAUUUAAAUGUAAAUUAUAUUAUAAUUAAAACAUAUUUUAUUGAUUUAUUAUUUGGAGCGACAAGAUCUGUUUUUGGAAGACGUUUUUUAAAUAAUUUAUUUCCGGUUCCGUUAAAUCCGACGGCUGGGAUUGGGAAUUUCCUGCACGUUGACCCGGUUGACGUAAGCGCAACCGACGGUCCGUUGAUUUCGAGCGAGCGGGGCUGCCCACGGUAUGACCGCACCCGAUAAGUCCCCCCCAUCCCCUCCAGAACUUAUCCACGCCCCCCACCGUGGUCUUUAAUCAAAGCAUCGAAUCCGCUCGAAAAUUCGAAUCUAAUCCGACAUCCCGUGCUACCGCGCCUAGCCCGGACCGCGAUCGAUCACCGUCCACCGUGAUUACCCCGGUCUCAACCGCUCGAUCAGACGGCACCGAAGGCCGCGCUCCGUCUGAUGCGACGACUGCUCGACAGCUCGCUAGAAGAACUCCUUCCCAACACGCGUAAAUGAAAGUAUUCAGCCCCAACUUUUUGCAGUUCCGCUCUUCUCAAAAUUCGGUUAAGAGUCGUUUCCAUCCCUUUUCCCCCUCCCGAAAUCCCUGCAAAUUUUCUCCCCAUUUUCCCUCUGAUUUUCUCGCACUUUCCCUCUCUUUCCCUUUCUCUCUCUUCGAUUCUUCUCCCUCUCUGUCCUUCGCCGUCCUCCUCGCUUCCGUCGCGCCAGAGAUGGAGUCGGCCAUGGAGGACUCCCGAGCACGGGAUUCGUGCCUGAUGGUCUCCGACGUGCUCGCUCAAUUCCCGCGCCCUCGCACGUCCAAGAGUUGCUGGAUACCAGGAAGCUUACGAAUAUGUCCGUUCAGGUGUUGCUAAGCGUCUCUGUAGUUAGCGAUCUUCGUUUGCUGUUUUUCCGUGUUCGCGCUGCCUCUGGCUUUGCUGUGGGGACCUGGUGUUUCGAGGGAUUAGGGGUUUCGUCGGAUUUGGGCUGGUGAGUUGCUUAAUUUGGGGGUUAGUGUGUUUGUUGGCGGUCUUGCUGUGGAGGUUGGUAUGUGCACGUCACUUACAGGUGAAAAUUCGGAACUCCUAGGGUUUCUCAAGCUACUCCAGAUCUUUCCUAACAUAGACAGGGAUAUUUGGACCAAAGUUCAGGCUUUUCUAAGGAGUAGGAAUUGUGAAUUUCGGGUUCUGGAGGGAUUUUAGAAUGGCUCUUGUAGACUCUUCUCUUUGGAUGUCGGGGAGCUGUUGGGAGUGACUGUGGAUUGUCUAGAGAAGGCGGUUACUUCCGGGCAAGUUUGGCUUUCGUUCUUACGGUUUGACUGUGCGAUCGUGGAUGGAAGGAAGGAGGGCUUUGACGUUUCCCCGAAGCGAUGCUCACAGUUUAAGAGAACAAGCCGCUAGGACGGUUCUUCGCAACGUUAGAUUACAGGGGCACACCUAUGUUGAGCUUCGUGAGGAUAAUAGGAAGUUCAUUUUCUUCUGUACUUUGUGCCUGUCGCCAUGUUAUGGUGAUUCGGUGUUGUUUGAUCAUCUCAAGGGGAAUCUCCACAGUGAGAGAUUAGCUACCGCAAAGGAUACGCUCUUAGGACCCAACCCAUGGCCUUUCAAUGAUGGCGUACUGUUCUUUGCUCGAUCAGCUGAGGAGGAUAAGCAAGUAGACAUUGCGAAUGGUGGUCAAAACAGUUUACUGGAGCUGAACGAGAAUGAAAAUCUUGCCAUUGUUCAAUACAAUGAAAACUCCAAGCUUGCAACUAAUGGACAUGAUGGGCUUCACAAUGCUCUCUUGGGUGGUAAAGUUAGUUCUUGUUUAGAGAGUUUGGAUGGUGAUGGAGGAGAUGGCUACCUGUUGAUUCCAGAUGUGUUGGUUAAAGAUGAGAUCUGCGAUUUGCAUGCUAAACUUUUGGGUGUGGGACGGAUUGCUGCGAGAUUUCUUGAGAAAGAUGAGGUGCUGAAUGGUAUAAGUAGAAUAUGGUGUGAAUGGCUGCGCAAAGAGAUUCCUGUUGACAAUGAUCCUCUACAGAUUUCAAAGCAUGACUUCGCCAUUGUGACUUUAGGUUACAAUUAUGAUUUAGGUAGGAAAGGGUUGUUUGGUGAGGUAAAGACCUUGCUUUCUUCUAGUCCUUUGUUAGCAUUGGAGGAUGGUGGGAACAAUGAUAGGAAGAGGAAGCAAUCUUUUUCUGACCCGGAGGAUAUAAGUGACUCCCUAAAUAAUCAGUAUGAUUCAUCUGGAGAAGGUUCGUCAACUUCAAAUGCUUCUUCUCCAAGAUUGCUGUUGGAUAGAUAUGAUGAUCAGCUUCUGCGUGCUAGAAUUACAUCAAGCAAAGCUGUAAGAAAAGAAGUGAGACGGCAUCAACGUAUAGCUGCAGAAAGAAUGUGUGAUAUCUGUCAACAAAAGAUGCUACCAGGGAAAGACGUGGCAACACUCAUCAAUAUGAAGACUGGAAAGCUGGCUUGCAGUAGUCGAAACUUGAAUGGGGUUAGUUCUUUUUUUCUGUCUUUUUUCCAAUAUAUAUUUGAUGUGCUUAGUCAACUCGUUCGUUUAAGUUAUUAAGGAGGAAUGGUUAUUUUUGUUUGUGCAGGCAUAUCAUGUUUUUCAUAUUUCUUGCCUUAUACACUGGGUACUUCUUUGCGAAUUUGAAAUGGCUACAAGUCACUUGGAAAAUCCAAAAGUGAGGAGGAAAUCGAGAAAAAAGAAUGGACCUAAGUGCAUUAAAUCAAGAGAAGAUGGUGACAGGAAAGCUGCACCUGUGCAAAUCCAUUCUGUGUUCUGUCCAGAGUGCCAAGGCACUGGUGUCAUGGUUGAAGGAGACAAUCUGGAAAAUCCAUCUGUCCCUUUGUCAGAGGUUACAAAUUCUACUGUCUUUUGCUUUUGUCUAUACUUCCUCUCAAGCGCUCCACUCCACACCCCCUCCUACCCUUCCCCAACCAACAACGUGGUUCACUUGUGAAGUUUCCUGACCGAGUUGGUAGGAUUAACCUGUUGAAAUGACUCGUGUAGCUUUAAUUUGCAGAUGUUCAGGUUUAAAAUUAAAGGGAGCGAUGCACGGAGAGCAUGGAUGAAAAGCCCUGAACGGUUGCAGAAUUGCUCAGUAGGGUUUCAUUUUCCACAGGAUUCAGAAGGGCAGUUUGAGGUAUAUCAGACACCUGCCUUAUAGAAGUUCAUUUUCUUUUUAUCAUAUGGAAGCUAAUUACUGAUAUUGCAUAUAUCGCUUGUCCCAGGAAAAGGUGGUGACCAUGAAGUUGCUGAAUUUCUAUGAAGCCAUUGAUUGUGGCAGUCCAGAACGUUCCCGGGAUCUUUGAAAUUGAAUUACAGCUUCCCCUAUUACUGUCUGCUUCAGAGCAAGCUAGGUUUGUUUUUCACUUUAGGAUAAAAAAAUAGCAGCCUUCAGGUAGAUGUGAGGUAAAUUUGAUAAAUUAGAGCCGCUAACUUCCUGUCAAUCAGUGUAUAUACUUGUUGCGAUGUAAAUGACGACUGGUGAUUGCAUUUCAAUUUGGAAACUGAAUCUCUUGUUCUGUACUUCUGCUCUUUUAGCCCCUGCUCUACAUGUUCUUUGUGCUAUUAGAGAUUGCCCUCUCAGAUGAAUUUUAAGUGUAGAAUCUGCUUGCUGUAUGACAAGGAAAUUUAUUAUGGAGCUGCUCCACCGAAAUGUCAAGUUCAGUUUUUCCCUGAAAUGAUGAUUGUCAUAGCUGAACCGCGUCACGAGUGCUGCAGAUGCACAAUGAACAUCACGGUGUCCUCGGAACAAGCAUUUAGCAACAUUAAUUCCCUAUCAGUGAGUCUUUGACUGGAUUGUAAUACUGAUUUGGAUGAAUGAAGCAGAUGGGAGUUGCCUUUGCGGUGUUUCAGUAGCUGGAGGGCAGAAUAUUGAGAUUGGUGAAACAUAAACUCAACUUAGAGAAUGUUUCCUGUGGCCAAAAGAGAAAGGCUGCUUUUGGAAACUGCUUUGUGAAUGGGCUUUGAACACCUCAAGUCCUUUGGGCUAAAUAUGAGAUGUUUGGGAAAAAUUUUACAAGUCUCAUUAGCUGAAAGCUAGCCUUCUCGAGGCUGAAAGCCCAAGGCUGGUCUUGGGAUGCCUUGGGCUUUUAGCCUUCUGCACAUGUAAAAAUUAUUGUUCAUCAUUUUCUGCGUUCACUGUUCAUCUUCUCUGUUGAGGUUGGUCGGUGGGGUUGCGCAAGGUUGCAAGGGGCCGGCGACCGGCUAAAGGGAGGCUGGUGACCGUCACGACAACCCAGGCGACGAUCAUGGCAUCCCAAGCGACCAUUGCUACGGUGUUGUGGUGACCUCCACGCCAUCUGGGUUGCAGUAGCUUCCGUGGGGGGCCGCACGAUUUGCGUCUCGGCGACCUCAGGCGAGGGCCGUGUGGCCCCGGCGACAGCUACUCGAGGUCAUGCGACCAUCGACGAGGUCAUGCAACCCAAGCAUGGCCCUCGCCGAGGUCGUUGUGUAGCCUCGGCGACGGCCGAUCGAGGUUGUGCAACCUAAGCGCGGCCCUCACCGAGGCCUCUCGACCUCAGGGGAGGGUCGCUCGACCUUGGGCGGCCCUUGCCGGUGGUUUCCAAGGGAUGCUUGAGGUUCAAUAACCUCAGAUGACGGCCGCUGCAAGUGAUCCAAUGUCGCCGACGGCCGCUACCCUUGCUGGCCAUAUAUAUAUAUAUAUAUAAUAAAGGUGGUUUGUAAAUAUAAGUCUUCAAAACACUAUUUUGUUCAAAGAUAUUUCAUAAUAAACUUUUAGAUUAUAAUUUUCCAAACGCAAUUUGCAUUUUGGAAAACCCCUUUCACUUAGGAUUUGUUCGUUUCGCGAAAAAUAUCAUAUUUCCAAAAUACAUCUUCCUAGAAGUCAUUUUCCAAAAAAAUAACUAUUUUUCAAUGUUCAGCUGAAACAUAAACUUUGAGUGGAAAAUAAUCUAAACUUUGAAUGGAAAAUAUUUUCAAUCGAUCGUUCACUAAUUUAAUUGUUUGGAAAAAAUUAUCAAAAAUUGAAUUUUAAUAUUUUUAAUUGAAUUUUAUUUUUAUAUUUUUUAAAAAAUAAAUUUUUAAUUAUUUGUAUUUUAAAAAAAUCGAAAUUUUUAUUAAUUUUUCUUUAUUUUUCUUUUUUCUUUUCCUUCAUCCUUCCUCCUCCUUCCUCCACUGCCGCAUGCCUAACGAUGGCUAGCUGCCCGGUGGCCGACCAAGACCCGGUCACCAAAUCCGGUGAGCUCGAGGCUCGAUCGAUCUUGCCUGAGCUCGCCAGAGUUUCGCCGAGCUUUGGCGAGCUUGGAUUGGGAGCUCAAGCUCCGCCGCUAGAUCCAAUGAGUUCACCGCUUGCUAAAGCCCGACGAACCUCUGGUGAGCUCGGGCGAGGCCCGAGCCCCGCCCAGCUCGCCGGAUCUAGCGACGUUGAGGACCUCGUACGGGUCCUGCUGGAUCUGCCUUGCCACAUCAUGCUUCUCCGACUUCGACUUGUGAGUAGGCAUUUCUCAAGGGGUGGCCUCCGGAAACCUUAGAAAUCGCUCCGGUGGGUCCAGAAUCGGCGCGGCAUCCACCGGUCGCCCCCCAUUCCCAGUCCCCCUUGGUCGCAAAGGAGCACACUGCCACUCUGAGCGGGACGGCAGACAAAAUGGGGGAAACUGCGGUGGAGAGGACGAAGGUAGAGAUAGAGAGAGAAAGAAAGCGCAACAGCAAGAAGAAAAAAAGAAAAGAAAAAAUAUAAAAAUAAAACGAAAAUGUAUUGAUAAAAAGAAGCAAGAUAAAAUAAGUUAUGGAAAAUAUUUUUCUCACUUUUAAAAGUUUUUUUUUUAAUGAUGGAAAACAUUUUUGCUUGACUAGUUCAUUUUCCAUGAAACGAAUGCUGGAAAAUUCGGAAAACGUUUUUUCGAAAGUCAUUUUUCGCGAAACGAACAGACCCUUAAAAUCCUUUGCAUUUUCCUAAAGACUUUCUUCAAAAAUCUAACCAAGCGCACCAAAGCAACUUGAUUGGAAGAUUUCUCCCUCCCUUAGUAAAGAUGAAAAGCUACCGCUACUUUAGAGAAUCAUUUCCUAUGGAAGUACUCGAGGGAAGAAGGAUUGGAGAUGAUGCGCGGCAUAUAAUUAGAUAUAUUCAUUCAAGAGGAGUCUCAGCCUGCUCCCCCCAUCCCGCAGCGAUUAAACUAGUAUGCAAACACGGCUAAAGAUCUCCACUCGUUGCUUGCUUAGAGUAGAUUCAUCUUUAAAUAACGAAACUAUUAUUCAUCUUCGAUAAGCCACCCCUCUGCUUCGACGGAUGUGAAUAGACUCCAGCCGUCUCUACUGCUCAUCAAGUGGAUAAUUUCUUCACAUUCUUCAGUAUCUUAUGCCACCCACUCCAUCCGGCGGAUUUGCCGGCAACAGAUUCAAAUGUACAUGCGGUUGACUCGCAAUUACGUUAAUGCCAGAAUCUCACUUCCAAAGCCGGCCGCUCAGUUAACUUCUUCGUGGUCCCCUCUAUAAAUUGCAUAUAGACAGAGCGAAUCUUACACAGAAGGUAGAGAAUAUGGAAUCCUCGCACAAAGUCAAGAAGGUCGUGUGCUUCCUAAUGGUUCUAAUGAUGCUACUGUCUUUCGAAUGCUUAACCGAAGCACGCCCUCUUUCUCAAGUCCCAGUCCCGACCUCGGGCAGCCGAACCUCGCCGGAGAUUCUGAUGGGCUUGAGAGCAAUUACUGCAAUGCUUCCGAAGGGCUCGACCGUGCCUCCAUCCGGGCCAAGUCCAAGCAUUAAUUGAAGCCUGAUCUGAUGAUCUGCCCAUCGCUUCAAUGUCGCUCGACCAGAAAAGCCAUUACACCUUUCGCCUUGAUUCAUUUAUCUUCUGCGAACCCGGCAGGUUCAUUGAAACCCAGUAGGUUCAAAAUUGUGUAGCGUAGUUAUUACCGAUUCAGACAAGAGACAAGUAGCCAUACUUCAUUGCGUGUUCCCAUUUGUUUCGAUUCUCUAGAUAAUACCAACAAUCUAUAGAACUAUAUCAUUCAGUCGAGCAAACUUGUGUGAAAGUUCGAUAAUUCAACGGUUACCAGCUUUCGUGCUCCUAACUUUUAUCACGAUAAAGCCGCAACUUUUUUCUGGUCAAUCGGGUCGAUGCUUAUCAUGGACAAGGACAUAUCAUGUUCAGACACGGGCGUGAUCUGUAUCGUGGUCCAUUGUCUAGAAUCGAGAGGAUGUGUUGGAUCUGAAUGGUAGGCAACGACCGGCACAAACGCCAUGUUGGCCGAGGAAUGGGCGAACCCAUGUGACAGGCCCAAUUUGGUAGACCAGCUUAAAAGCUGUCUUCCCCUCCGAGAAGAAGGUAUCGUGCGGGCUCGGUCUGAUUUCAUUGUAUCAAAUCCCGUAUCAAGAAAGACACGGGCUCGCGCUGGUCCCCGCUCGAAAAAGCACGGCCUCUCUUUGGUGGUUUUCCACAUUUAGUUGUCUUAAAGAUUCAUGGCGUCCUUUUGAUGCUGAGAUUAUCUCCGCGAUAAACGUUUGGGAAGGUCUCGUGAACUCGUUAAAGCUUCGUACGGUUCAUUGGUAGGUGUUUUUGGGAGCUUUGAUAUAAUAAAACUCCAUGGUGUGAUGUCCGAACAUCUCCACAUAAGAAACAAAAAAAAAAAAAGAAGGUAUGAUUGACGGCAUGCUCCUCCGGUUGGGUGCGACCCAUGUUCAUAACAAUUAGGAUGGAUGGAGAAUACGGAAACUCAGUAAUAUAUGUGAAAUGAGGACGACAAUCGACCUAAGAUGAAACGAAUAUGGACGAAUUCCUCGACUUUAGAGGUUGGCCUCGGCCACUGGUCAUGCAGGACUAGGGUAUGCGUCCGGUUUCCUUGGUCGUCACAUCCAAUCCAAAGUGGGAGACCCUGACAAAAUCAUGUUUGUGCAACGGUCGAUACGCCAUUGUCCAAGAUUGACAUCCUGAGUCUCGAAAUGAUACUAAAAUGAAGUGGCACUUAUCGGCUGGCCCAAACCACUUCUAGAAAAGGGAACGCGACACACAUUUAAUUGGUUGAUAACGAUGUCCUACUCAUUUAUUCACCUUUUCUUUUUUACCAUUUUCACGGAUCUAUGUUGUGAUAAGUCUUCGGGAAGAUCAGACAUAGAAAAAAGGACACAUGAGGGUUCGUUCAAAAAGUAGAAGCAAAGCCAUCAAGCAAGGCAAAAGCCAUCACAGGAGGCAAAGUCCCAACUUUCUUCUAAUAAAGAAAUUGCUGGCACAAGAGAAGCUUCCUCUGCACUGCCAAAGAGCAGCGCCAUGCCAUUUCUUUGGCCUCUUCGCAUGCCUUGUUUUGGAGUCUUAGGAGUCAACAACGGUUGAAUUAGAUGAACAAAAACCAAAUCAAAUACCCCAUCUCUCUCUCUCUCUCUCUCUCUCUCUCUGUGGAGGAAGAUUCCAUAGUGGGGAGGGGGUGCUCCUUGGCCACCGCCACAGGUGGCCCCUCCACCACCCGCGGCCGACCACGUGCAUUGACAACGUUGAAGAAAACCCUCUUCCCUUUUGAAGGGGACUGUCUAUCUAGAAUGGUGGGUAAUGGGUUGAUGAUAAAAAGAUGAAAAAAAACAUUGAAAAUGACUUUUUUUUUGCCUUGUGAUGGCGAUUGGCUUUGAAUAGUACAGGUUCCAUCAUCGCAAAGGUAAGAUGAGCACUUGUUACCCCACCAUUACUGCCCUUUGCUGUACCGCAAUCUUGGGAAUCUUCGCACUACUGUUGGAACUCUGAAAAUGCGACGAUUCGAGGAGCAAGAUAGGGCCUCACAUCUGGACCACUUUCCUGAAAUUCUUCCACAAAACGCUCACCAUCAUCAUCUUCUCAGUUGGACUGGGCAAAAGAGAGGAGGAGAUCGACAGAUUCAAUACUAAUGAUAGCCAAGAUCAUAUUCCACGUAACGCGAAUCCAUCUUUUUAUGAUUGCCCCAAGCACCUCUUUUUUAUUAGAGAAAAGUUGAUCUGCGUCCAGAAUUGGUAAACACUGUUUUAAGUGUCGAACGCUCCAAGAGCGCUUUUCUUUCGGUCGACCACCACCAGAGAUUUUCUUUUCGUUUUCUUUUUGUGCGUGGGGAAGGUUGGGUGGGGCGGUUCAAUAGAGUAAAAACAGCAUAAACACGCACAUGGAAUCUAGGCUCCGAAGAUUUGCCAAGCAAUCAAACACGAUGAAUAUUCACCCUGAACGUUAAAAUUCCGUGUAAAUUAUAUUGCAGCAGGGGAAAUACAGCUCUAAAUUCUCUAAUCCACACCGCUGCCCCAGACUUCUCCUUUGAAAUCCUCGUACUUUUUACAUGUAUAACAAAGGAGAUUGUGUCCCCAAAUGUUCUCCACACUCAAAACAGAAGCAGGCACAAAACUAUACAACAAAAGAGGAAGAAACAUAUUCUGCUCAAGGACUUGUCGGCCUGCAUCACAUGCCUCCUCACCCUGGGGCUGCUGCUCCCGGCGAGAUGAUACGAGUUCGGGUACGUGUACAUGUUCGUCAUCGAGUUCCCAAACACCCUCGCGAAUACCAUCUCACCAAGCAUCCCAAUCAUCGGGUCCACCGUGUUCGUCGAUGUGCCGCCUAGAUUAACCAUAGGCGAGGCGGCGUAGCCUCCCAGGUGGGACUGGUACGACGGCGAUUGCGGUGCGUAAACUUGAUUGUGAGCUCGCUGAACCGAACGGGGACUGGAAAAAGCGCCGAGAGAUCUCGGGCUAUCGACGCCACAGGCAGGACCAAACGGUCUCUUCGGUAUGACUAUGCCGAGCUGCCGGGCCUUGCUUUUUGCUGACUUCGUAGAUCCACCGCGGCCAUAGAGCGGCACCAGAGUGGCCUGCGAAACCUCUGCUUUACAGACCGGACACUGCUGCGGCUGCGGCUCUUCGUUCUCCAUAUCAGUACUCUGAACCUGAAGCCACUUGUAGAUGCAAGGCCAGCAGUAGAGAUGACCGCACAGGGUCACCACCGGAUCCUGCACCAUCUCAAGGCAGAUAUUGCACUCGAAGCCACCGGAAUGGUUGUCAUCCGAGUCGGCAGCGGCCGCCGCGAGGGACUUCCAGUUCUCUAAAGAUGGCUUGUGCAAUCCACUAAGGUUUUGCGAUGCCACGGAAUCUGCAAAAGAGUGCUCUAGGGCCAUCUUGCUUGGGCUAUGACCAAGAUUCCUUGCCUUCCUGUUAUCAUAUCAAGAGGAUAAAAGGUCAGACAACUAGAAAUCUAAAUAAAAAUCGAAGGUACAUGACGACAACGCAAGCGAUCUUUAUUCUUUUCUCCAUCAGUCGUAUUUCCUUCAAAUUUAUGACGCGAGAACAUAUUGUUAGGGAGAUUUGCAGUAUCGUCUCGCAAUCACUCGUCACGAUGGAUAUAAUCCAUCCUACAAGCAUCAAUUUUGAUGCAAAGGCACGGGAACAGAUUCUCUCUCGCACACAGUUAGAACAAACGCAGGUCUCAUAUCAGGGGACAUCGGUGGGCAAUAUUCUCUAGAGAUCUGAGGCACGACAUACCCGGUCACCGAAUCGCAAAAAGACGGUAAAUUGAAAGGGGCAUAUCUAAUUUCAUCAAGUAUCAGCGAGCUUUCCUGUUGAUGCUAGGCAAUUGGAAUUGAGAUUACUCGUCAAGAAUCGAUGCUUUUGGCCUAAAACGAAAGAGAUUAAAAAGAAAAAGAGGGACAGGACUAGCAAAACAGCCCCCAAGAUCUGGUUUUUCAUCGUUUCAGGGCCGGUCGCAGAGGAAGACGGAACCGGACAGCCGGGCCAUCUUCCUCCACAUUCUCCCUCAACGGAAAAGAAGCCGAAACAGAGCGAAAAUCAAAGGGCACGCGGAGAUUCCGCAACGCCCCCACCCUAAUUCCCGAAAUCCUAACCUUGAAAUCGACCCACGAACCCCUCGUGUUCUAGAACCAUCUAGAGAUUCAGCUCAUUGCCACCUCCUUCCCAGUCCUUCCCACACACAGACACACACAACUACAGGCAUCAGAGAGGAAGAAGAACGAAACGAAUCGAAACCCAGAACCGCUCGCGACUCCCAACGUCGUCUUCUCAAACAGGGAAAAUAAAAAGGAGGACAACGAGUCCCGUACCGAGAAAAGAAAUACACGAAGAGCGUCCUCCUCGGCGCGCGACCUCCACGCCCUUCCCCCGUCCGCCGCGCGAUUCGACGUUUCUCGGAGACGGAGAAGGAAGAGAUUCACUUCGAAUGUCGAAGAAGCCCUGCGAGCUUUUAGAGAGAGAAAGAGGGUAGAGAGAGAGAGAGAACACUGCGUGGUAACGGACGAUGGAGAAGACGAGAGAGCGAAGGCUGAUAUAUAGAUAUACGCCCACGCGCGGACACAGAAGCGGGCCCACGGGGGGCGGGUGGAAUUGUACGCCGCGGGCGGGUGCACCGCAUCGUCCCGUGAUCGCCGCCCGACUCGCCGCACACGUGGCGCGCGGGCGGUCGCGCGUGUCGCCCCGGUUGUGGAGCCCCCCUCCGGCCAUUUACGUAUCCUUUUUGAAUAUUAAUUAAAAAUUAAUGAUUGGCUUCUCCUCCGGGAUAUUUUAGCAUGGGGGGACAUUAUAAUAACAUGGCCGAGAAAGACGAAUAAUUCAGUGGAGGCAAUGAUGUCGGGCGGUUUAAGGUUCCUGCUUAGCCAUAAACUUAUCUGCGCCUGCACGAUGUCCGCGCUUUGAUUGAAUACUUAACGGGCGGUGCACGGGAUUUUCACAUAACAUUGAUAACAUUGGUGUGAGAAACUCUUUGGAUUCGGAUCUUUUCGGAGGAGCCCCUUUUACUUUGUCCUCUUCUGAUCGGGAAUUUCCAUGCUCAGUUUCGGGAUUAAAUUUCGAAUUCCGAUGUCCUUAAGCAUGCGGUUGAUUACCGUUCCCGAUCGGAUGAUGAGUCCGAUCAUCAUCAACAUCCGUGAAAACGAUGCGAAAGCAAUGCGGACACCCUAUCGAUCGACAUCGGCAUAGGGAUUCAUUGUAGAUGGGCAUAACGUCCCACUUGAUUUUAUUGGACGUCAUUGCCAAAGUUGUCCUUUCUUCUCCUCAUGCUUAUCGGCCACGUAUCGAAUUAGCCAUGGUUUGGCAAAGCUACUGGACUAGAUUACAACCAAAUAAGAAAGCAUAACUUCCAUGUUUUUUUUUCCCCUUUUUUGUAUCUAUGUUGUACGAAUUUGUCGACAUUACCCACCAGUGGACAACUGAGUUGGGAGCCAUGGUGGUGGGGUUCUGUGCUAAUUUCCUCUAAGGUAUUAAUGCUUGAUUCGAGGUGCACCAUGCAUUGUACGGACCGUGGGUUGCUGAUUAGCGUAAAUGAAAGGCGGGCCCAGCGGAUCCUUGAUUACCAAAAAAAAAAAAAAUUGUGACAUUUAUGUGCAAGUAAGAAACUGGCUUUAGUUUGUGAGGAGUUUGAGAAAAUUAAGGUCAGUAGGCGAGAGCCUUCUCCAUUUCUAUUAUGAGAUAUUUUUUUGGUGGAGAGUAAAUGGAAGGAUCAUCAUGUUAAUCCGCAUCAUUUGCAAAGCCAGUUCUCCACUUCACCAACCACCAUAAAUUUAGAAAGUGGGAUUAUGCGAUGGUACCAUGUCUACACGGUCAUGUGACAUGAAUUUAAUGUAAUAAGUAUUUCUUAUAUACAUUGAAGUCGUCGUGGACAUCCAAAAAUAAUCUGACUCGUGAUGGAUCAAUGGAAAUUCAUGUGCGUUGUCAAUGGGAUAGUCGUAGCUUACUAUUACAUAUCGGUGACCAAGAAAAGUUAUUAUCAUCAAUGGGGGAAAAUCGAUGACGGCUAGAAAUUGACAUGUGAGGAAAAGGGAUAUACUGAUUACGAAAUCAAUGGAAACACAAAAAUAAGGAUGGAAUCAAAUCAUAACUACUCUAAUAUAAGAACAUGCGAUUGUAGGUAAAUGGAGCCGAGGCCUGGAAUCUUGUGAAUAGGUAAGGUUUAGAAUUUGAAUGAUAACUGCUCCUGACAGUUAAAGUUUGUGCAAAGGCUAUAAAAAGGCCAAGAAAGAUCAACCGUAAACAGACCAACAAUCAAUAACACUUCUCAAAUUUUUGCAUUUUACUUUAUCAAUUCUCCAUUUGUGUUCAUUAUUCAUUACUAUCUUUAGUUCCAUAGUUCGUAGGGUAGUCACACCGAUUGUUUCUUAUUCGAAUCGCGACAAAACCUGUUUAUUUUUGGAAAUAUCAAAGAUCAAACCUUUGAUAAAGUCAUUCGUUGGCAAUCGUUUUCAGCGAAAAAAAUGAAAGAUUAAUGAAUAUGACUCAUGAUGAUUAAGUUAUUCUACCUUUUGACCACACACCAUAUAUUUCCACACUAUAAUUCUUCUUUCUUUUCUUUCCUUUUCCUUUCCUUCUUUUAAUAUAAAGGCAUCAUGAAUUGUUUGUGACCUACUCACCGUUCUAUUGACCAGCUCAACCGCAUGUCAAAAACUUUGUGAGAAUUUUCAUUCCGAUUUUGCUGGAUUAGGGCAAUCUGCUGGCAUGAACUAUUGGCUGAUCCUAUGGUUUUAGAACUCUUUCAGAGACAUCAAAGGAAGGGGUGACUACACAUCCAAUCAGAAGAUGGAGAUAUUUUUCUUUUACAGGGGUCAAAAUUGAUUGUAAAGCACGCCCCCCAGAUUUCCAAAUGUUGAACAAUGGGAGGCUAAUCUCGAAAACCCUAUAUUCAAAUCAAAAUAAACAAUACCAUGUGAUGUAUCGAUUGAAGAAGCCGAGUCAAAUCAUCGUUUAAUAGGAUCUUUGGUUUUUUUAAGUAAAAAUGUCACAAUCUUGCUUAAGUAAGAUCUCAAAAUAAAUUCCAUUUUAAUAAGGUAAAACAAGUAAGACAUGAGUUGAAAACCCAAGCGUCCCUAACAUUUCUCAUCACUUUUUUUUUCCCUAGAACUAACAUUUACUUAAGGUGAUGGUGCAAACAUGUUCUUUAGGUAAUAAUCGGGAGAAUUACCAAAAAAGUCCUAAACCUAUUGCAAUUGUGCCAAUUUAAUCAUAAACCUUUUUUUUGGGCUAAUUUAGUCCUAAACUUUUUACAAUUAUGUCAAUUCAGUCCAUUCGGCCAAAAUUGGCCGACCGGCGCUGAUGUGGACGUCGGACAGGGACAACUGGUCAGUGAACGCUAAUGUAGCAAUUUUUAAAUGUUUUUUUUACUUUUUUUCAAUUUUUUAAUUUUUUUAAUUUUUUUUUAAAAAAUUUAUUAUUUUUUUCUUCUUCCUUUUUUUUACAACCUUUUCCUUCCUCUAGUCAGCAAGGUCAACCUCGCUGGCCACUAGCAAAGGCGAGCCUUGCCCAAUCAAGGCGACGGUCGACCUCGUCGGCCACUAGCGAGGCUCGCCUCCACCGGCCACUAGCGAUGGCGAGGCCGCCCUCGCUAGAUCUGGCGACAGUCGCCUCGCUGGCCACCGGUGAGGCUGCUAUCGCCAAAUUUGGCGAGGCUCACCUUCACUAGUGGCUAGUGGGGGCAAGCCUCGCUGACUAGAGGAAGGAGAAGGUUGGGGGAAAAAAUCAAAAAAAUUCAAUAUAUAUAUAUAAAAUUGCCACAUUAGCAUUCGCCGGCUAGCUGUCCCUAGUUAACGUCCACAUCAACGCCGGUCAGCCAAUUUUGGCCGGAUUGACUGAAUUGACACAAGUAUAAAAGGAUUAGGAUUAAAUUGGCCCAAAAAAAAAGUUUAGGACUGAAUUGACACAAUUGUAAUAGGUUUAUGACUUUUUUGGUAAUUCUCUCAGUAACAAUCUCUUGUGCAGUUUUCAUGGUAAGUAAUCUUCUUGUGCUGGCAAAUCACACAAUGCUAAGCUCAUGCAUUAAUCUUCCAUGGAUUACAUACGGUUUAUUGACAUCCCUCGCUUAGAAUCUUCAACCUAGAGAUCUCGAGGCCAAUCAAAGCUUCUUAUAAUCAUCAAUUCGAGCCUCACCAAACCCUCAUUAACGAGAUUUUCAUAUCGGCUCCCUCCAAUUUUCUAUCACAAUACACUUCGGCCUGCAGCCUAUGCUAAACGACAGAGAGAAAGCACGUCGCAUCGCAUCGGUGAGAGGCGAAGAGGAUGGGAUGCCAUUGGUACAUCACCGGGGCUGACCGGGUCAAGAAAGAGCACCACUUCAAGUUUGUCCCGACCUUACGGAUUCAAGUUAUUUAAAUGACAUUAUUCAGUCUCCUCAAGCAUCACUUUGUCUCUCCUUCUCCUCCAGAAGCAAAUCCAUAAUCUAAUGCGAUGAAUAAAAUUUGAAGUCUCUGAGCGAUGGAGCGAAACUGGGAGCUUGUCAGCAUGAUAAUUACAUCCUAACCGUGCAUACCUUAUUGAUUUCAUUUGUAAGAUUCCUAAUAUGUAUCUCUAUAUAAUGUGUGGAAGUGACUGGGAUUAGGUGUAUAUUUUUCUGAAUUCUUUACUGAUUAAAUUUAUUUUCAGGUUUUUUCAGUAUCACCUAGGGUAAGUUGGAUAUUUCUCAAAAGGGCUUCCAUCAUAUUUAAUAAAAUGCAGAAAAGAAAAAGAAGAAGAGGAGAUUUCUCUCUAGUUGUGCUCGUGGACGUUUACACCUGAGUGUGUCCAAACCAUUCGGUCCAUAUUUAUAUAUUGCCUUGCUAGCAUUAAACUCGACUAGCACAUGGCCCUAAUAUCAUGUCAAGAAAAUGAACCGAAAUUUCAAAUAGCUAGGUCAUGACGAAGCUAUGCGAUCCAGCAAAAAUCCUGUUCAAAUCAUGAUAACAUCGAACAUAGUUAAUAAGGAUUUUGUCAAUAAGUGCUUCCAUUAAAUUUGCCCACCAUACCCAUAAAAAAAAAGAUGUUCAUUUUCGUUGUGUCAUAUAUAUAAGUACCCUGAUCUCUCUGUGUAGAUGUUCAGUCAAUAUUCCUAAGAUAUCCGUUGAUAAAAUCUUAUCAUUAUGCCUGACCGACCGGCUAAAUCUCAUUCUAGAACCUGAUGGAAACAACAUGAAAUGGCGUAGUCCGGAGUUUAGAAGUCCAUUUCCCAAGGAAAUCAAUUAAUUUAAUCCCGUUUUCAACAGGAGAACGUGGCUUCUGGAAAGUGGGGGUGGGGCUAAUGAGGUUUGAUUAGGGUACCCAAUAAGACAAUAACAUGUGUGGGGACAAGAGCCCUUCUAGAAAGAGGAAUUAAUUUUCAUUUUGCCCUUCUUUGUAUUUUCUUUUUUCUUUUUUUUUGUAUUUUAAGGGUAGGAGGAUGAAUUUCUAGAAGGCGAGUGCGUUGCGCGGACUUGGAGUUAGACGGGGGGAAAAAGGGUAUUCGGACGGUCCUUCAAAACGCCGCCGGCCAUCUUUUCUCUCCCACCCAAGUCCUCAGUUUUUCUUCCCUCCUGCUUUGACAGAGGAGGCCAUGCUAUAAUUUGAUAUGAGUAGGGCCUUCUAGAAUGUUUCUUGAAAUGGAAGUGCGUUAGAGAAGUGAGUUUAAAUUUUAUUUUUUUUUAAGUUAAGAAACAAAUAGAGAGAAAGGAAGAGAGAUGAAAUAUUAGUCCACUUGAUGUUGAAUAUGGAUGCGUGAUAUAUUUACUCAACUGGAAAAGCAAAAGGAUAAUAGUCUAGUGAUGGAGAGAAGGAGCCCAGGUUUUGUAUUCCAUAAAAGCAUCGUUUAAAGUGUAUAUUUUUCUUUUCCUUUUUUCACUAAUGAGGAACUCACCUUCAACUCCGGCCGGCCCAUGAAAUGCCCGGCUUCAUCUUCAUAGUCUGAUGAAGCCGUGAGAACUAAAACCUGAGUGGGUGAGGGUUUGAACUUAGAAUUGUUUUUUUUUUUUUUUUUUUUGCUGGAGAAACCGGCUUGCAGCCGACAGCCGCGCCGUAAACCUCCAGGUGACACUUAAGCAGGAGGACCUACCACCCCUGAGUCACACUUAAUACACCUAGCGCCUCUCCUGGGUUUUGAACCCUUCACCUCUUCGUUGAGGAUCAGUAGAGUCUUAGCCAGUGGAGCCACCGCGGCCGGUGGUGUGAACUUAGAAUUGUUUGCACCAAGUAAAGUGAAAAAUCAACCGUACAUCUUGCUCUUAUUUCACCUAUAAAGGUUGGUCCUUUAAUCGCUAAAUUAAUAUCAAAUGUUUUCAUGGCAUCGUGAAACAUGUUUUACAUGGUCCACUCUUAUUCUUUUCCCUUAUGGUGGAAAAAAAAUAGGAUGAUGAUUUGAGAAUUCCUUAUGAUCAAAGGGUCUAAUCCUUGGUCUGUGAUACGAUUCUGUUCCAAAAGCAAAAAAAGGCGGCCAACUUUUUCGCCGGCUUGUUCAUUGUGCACAUCAAUCCGGCCCUACCCAUGGUCGUGUCGAGAUCUUAUACUUAAUCGGUUGUUUAAAAAUUCCUUGUCCACUGUAAUAACAAGUGCCUUUUGUCUUUUCAAACACUUGGAAAAUAAGGAAAAGAGCAAAGCUGACACCCCAGUUUUGUCGGGGGAUGAUAGGGUUGGAUCCGGCCUGCGACAAGUGAGGACGUUCACACCCUAGAUAAUGACCCCUCGAAUUAGAUAUUUUAAUAGGGUAAUCUGCAUGAAAUGAAUCUAGAAGGAGAGUAUGCGUGGUUGUGCAUCUGUCCGAGAAUGGAUUGCCCUCACUUAUAGUGACUAACAAUUAUAUGUAUAUAUAUAUGUAUGUAUAUAUGUAUGUAUAUAAUUGGUACUCGGUAUAUAUAUUUAUUUAUAAACCAUAGCUAUUAAAAAAAAAUCAAGAACGUCUUAUUUUUUACUCGAUGGACAUUUGCAUAUCUUCACUCUUGAAAAUGUCGAACACUUAUGUGAGUUUUAUCUCUAAAGACCACUUUGCACCUCUGUAUCACUUACCUUUGUUAGAUGCAAAACGUGCAAUCCAAAUAUCUCAAUAACCAGAACAACAACAUAGAUGAUUGAGUAAAAAGAUGAACCAAAUAUCCCAAUAACCAAAACAACAGCAUAGAUGAUUGAGUAAAAAGAUGAACGCACCUAUUUUGGAAUUCAUCGUUCUUAAUACGGAAGCAGAAAAGCGAUUAUCCACGCGCAAAUCUUUCUCCUCUAUUAUUCUCCGUAUCACUGGUUUAAUGAGACGGCCCCUUAUCCUUUAGCGCUAGGUAAAAGCUUCUUAUAUGAGGAUACUUGUGAGAAUUAGGGUUAGAGGAGAGACUUAUAGAGUUUCCAAGUAGACUCUCUCAUUAUAGGUCAAGCUCAACUCGGCCCAUAUUAGUCAGUCUCAUAUUAAACUAAUUAAGAAACAUUCUAUCUCACCUUAGAUCAACCCCAUAAAAUAGUAAAUUACAAUAUCAAUUAAUGUAGUUUACAUCAGGAAAACUCUUAUAUUCUCCCACUUGGGCUAUAUUAAUUGAAAUUGUACUGUAUGUACGCACAUUAGUCUAAAGAUAAUUCUUAAUAGUCAACUCAUCCCAUAAAGUCUUAAAUACCAAAUCAUGGCAGUAACUACAUGUAUACACACAGAGUUUUCCAUGGUCACAAGUGCUUUCAACUUUAAUGAUAUGGAUUCAAUAUGGUAAUAUGGCAAAUUGAUAACAUAUCUCAUAGAGAGAUUCUAUUUGUCAAUCAUCAUUCUCUUACCUUAAACAUCACAAAAAAUUUGUGCCACUAAAAAAUGUCUUUAUAGUUUUAUUAAACCCACAUAUGCAAUGUGUUUAUGGUUAACAUUUCUUUAUAUAUAACAAAACAUAUGAACAAGGCUAAUAACCGAAUGCCUUUAGCCUUCACUCAAGGUUUAUAUGAUACCUUAAGACUUUUAUCAAUAUAUAUUCAACAUAAUGACAACACAUUCAAAAAAUAAUUUAUUGAAUGCAUAAGUUGAUACAUAUCAAACUGUUAUUAAGUGUAACGAACACAGAAGUAAACUUUAUUACAAUAAAAUCAAAAUAGCUCCCAUUAAAUAAUAACAUUUCAUGAUGCUCUUACACUCAUAUUAAUGACAUGUCAAUGAAGUCCGUCAGUAGAUCUGCAACUAUAUAAUCUGUGGAAAUAUAUUAUAUUAUAACGUUACAUUUUUGUACCAAUUCUUUAUAGUAAAAAAAUUGGCUGUCAUAUACUUAGAUCCCCUGAGACAUUUGUUGUUAAUAAAAAUACUAUAAAUUUAUUAUCUCAAUACAAUCGUAUGAAUUUAUCCAUAAAGUUAAAUAUGGUCAACUCCUUAAUGAGGUUCCGAAGUUUAAUAACCUAAGUAACAGCCUAAAAGAAUGUUACAAACUCUACUUACAUAGUAGAAUAUGACAUAGAACUUCAUUUACUGCACUUCCUGCUAACAUAAAUAUGCAUUACGUUAUUGAUCUCAUGUGAUCCUAAUAACCAUCAAAGUUUACAUCUAAAUACUUUAUUAACUGCAAGAAUUGAACAUGUCUGUAAAUCGGCAUAUAAUCUCAUGUCCUAUUUAAGUACCUUAAAAUCUUCUUGGCAACAACCCAGUAAUUGUGUCCUGGAUUUAACUGAUAUUUGCCUAAAAGUCCCGUCGCAAAGACGAUAUUUAGUCUAGUAAAAAUUUGAGCAUACAUUAUACUUUUAAGUGUCAGUCAUCUAACUAGAUUUUCUCAAUUUCUAAAUAAGAAAAAUGUAAUAGAUUCAGUCCAUCACUCUUACUGACAAGAGCAAUUCCUAGCUUGUAGUGAUGUAUAUUGAAUAUUUUCAAAAUACGAUUAACAAAUUUUCUCUGAGAAAAAUUCAAUAUAUAUGGUGAGAAUGAUCCUUACGAACCUCGGUAUAAAGGACAAAAUAUGCCUUAAGAUCACUACUUAUAAGCAAAAUAUCAUAUACAUAAAGUACGAGAAAAAAAUUCCUCCCACUGACCUCGCAAUAUAUAUGUAUUGAAUUACUUUGACAACAUUAUGAAACUUUAAUAAUAUUAUCUGAAAACUGACUUAAGACAAUAAAUGGGACUAUUCAGUCUAUAUACAAGUUUACUUGAAUCAUAUGUUGCAAAAACCCCCGCUUACACUAUAUAGAUUUUGUUAUCAACGUGUCCAUUUGAAAAGACAGGAGACAAUAUCUAUUUGGCGUAACUCCAUGUCAAAAAUAGCUAUUAAUGACAUGUUCACUUUGAAAUAAUCUAAUAUAUAUAUUUCUUUACUGUCUACCUCUCUUUCAAAGUGAAAACUUUGGCUACUAAUUUAGCUUAAAACUAAAAUUCUUUAAGUAUGUACAUUUAUUUGCAACUAAUGAGCUUACAAUCUUUAGUCAAAUCAAUAAGUUUCCAAACACUAUAAUAUUUCAUAGAAAUAUCAAUUUCUUUUUUGAAGAUGUCCAUAUCACGAACCGUAAAUCUCCACGCUCCCUCGAAACAUUCGCCACCAAGAGCCCCGAGCGAAGACGCCGAAACGAGUUGGCAAGGACGGGUAAUUUUGGCGUUUUCAAUUCGGAAUUUUGCUUAGAGGCACGUGCAUAGUAAUGGAGACAUCUAAAUGGUGAGGAGGGGGUUAAAAAGUUAGGCGUGUUUUGGCGUUUUCCCAAUUUAAUUUACGAGCUUUUCUUAUUAGGUUUUCAUUCUUUCUUUUUGGCUUUUUGUUUUUUAGUUUUUCUACGCGGGUGGCUUUGAUCUCAUAGGAAAAAGAGCUUAUCACUUGGUAGGACCGACAGCCAAAUAAGAAGUAAGGCCACCGCCCCAGGGACCAAUGGCGAAUUGGCAACGAGGUAUCCAUAAUGGAUGCUGGUUCUUCGUCUUUACUCUCCCACUUGUUCACAAUAAUUAUUUUGAAUAUUAUAUAUAUAUAGCUUUAUCUCUAUAUGCUGACAAGGUGCUUAUCUUGGAGGUGUGGACUUGGGCCAAAAAGGAGGUCAAUAUGAUAUAUUUAUGUUCUUUUUUGCUGGAGACAAAUAUAAUAUUUGGCAUAUGGGAAGCUUUAUCUCUAUUUGCUGUGCGUUAGAUUAACUUUUGGCCGUGGUGACCGGGCAGAUUUGAGCAAAAGCUGUCGUACAACUUGCUUGAGAGGCCAUCCUGUUGCACUUGCCAAUCGUUGAGGGAAUCAGCAAGUUUGACCCCGAACCCUUGAAGAACGUCACUUCUCAAUAAGUAUAUUAUCAAGUCCAUACGGAUGACAUAUGCCGAGAGAGACAGAGUCGGGUCGGGUGGAUUGGGUGAUCACGACGUUCCUUCUUCAGUCGCCUAAAAGAGUUGUGUCGAGAUGAUUCGGUCAGAAAAGACUAGUUAGCAUCUGAAGAGUCGAGGGGAUAGAUCGAUGGCAUCGCCCUUUUUUAUGAUCAUUCCUAAUUUUCGAUAGAUUCAUCACUUUUCAAUUGAAUAAGAGAAUAAGUGGAUUAGACUUACUUGAUCAUAAGCAUGUCAUGAUAUCAUAAUUAGAUAUAGUUCUACUUCACAUUUUUGUCUUCCAGGCAGAGAAGCCUGAUGAUUUCGUUGCUAUAAUUUGGUAUAAUAUCAAAAACAAGUAGGUACUCGUUACCUAACCAACAAUGUACCUAUCUAAUUAAGAAAAUUUGAUUGAAGUUGUCAUCCUUCUCAUAUGAUAAGCUAUAAAAUGCGGAUGUGCUUGCACCAAGACUCGCCUCCAAUUGCGAGGAAGAUGCUUUCUACUUGUAUUCCCCACAUUUAAUUAAUUCAAUGUCAACCUCCCGAGCUAUAUAGUAAAGCUACCAAAUUUCAAUAUAUGUUUUCUUUUUUCCUCAUUUUCCUUUUCAAUUUAGCUAGAGAAGGACUAAAUUAUUAGUCAGCUGAACCGUUCAUAUAAAGAAAUUAGAGAUAAAUUAUAUAAUUUUUUUAUAGCUUUAGCAAAGAGUCAAACCCAUAUAACAAUGUGGUGCAACUAAGUUUGAGGUUUGUUUAUUAGGUAGUGGUCUAACUAAUGCUUGAAUUUACACUAUUGAACUAAGCAAUCGCUUAAAAAUUGAUCACGCGGUCCAUGUGCGCUUAUCCAGAUUACAAGUGGCUUCAAGUUAGAUCGUCGCCGGUGCAUCAUCAGAAAUUAUAUAUGCAAACCUUAAAAUCAGCUAGAACAUCGAAAAUGCUCGGUCCAAUUUCACGAGAGGAAGCCAAAAAGAUCUGAUGUUUUCCAAAGAUCAUGUCAUGUGGAUGGGCGCGAGGAAACAAAGCUCUGUUGGACAUAAGCCAUGUUGGCCUUUCGGUAAUAGGAGAUAAGAUCGUCCGAGCUGGCAAAACACGGAAUCGUUAUUAAUUUUAGGAUAAGGGGGAGAGACUUUUCUUUGUCCCUGUGAACAAACAUUUUCCAAGGUUCACAAAAAAGUCAAGAGGAUUUCUCUGCUGUCUUGUUCGCCCCAAUCAAUCUAAGGACAUGGGCAGCGUCGUAUCCUUGUACCUUUGCCGUCACGGAUCGGCGCUGUUGAGAUAAAGAUCAAUUUUCGUGAAUGUGAUGACUAGGCUCUGAUGCUGCCUCCAUCUCCCACCUUGUUUCGUUUCCCCUCUCCUCCUCUUCCUGUAGUUUUCAAAGCUGCACAUGCACGUACACAGGUUCAGACAAGAUGGGAAUUGACAUCGUUCGGCAAUUCCCGCGGUUACUGUGCUAAUUUAAGAGUGGGAAAGUGAUGAUGAAUCCCAUUGUGAGACUUUCUUUCUUUUCCAAGUCACAGUGAUUCCAUCCCAUCACCUCUAAAUAUCUCGAAACCAGUAGUUUUUCUACUCAUGGUUGUGCUUAAUAUGCAAGAUCCCUUAGAAUUUUGCAUUUGGGAGGAUGUUAUAAUAUAUGAGGAUCGCAGACCGAGGCAUGACUCCCCCCCGUUCCUCAAGUGUCCGCUGCUACAAAGUCCAAUUUAAAAUAGUUAUCGCCAAUUCAACUCAAUAUAGAUGGAUGUGAUGACUCUGAUCCGAAGAGGAGCUGGACAGAUCUAAAAUUCUAGAUGCGGGGAAAAUUACAAAAGCAAAGUCCUAGAAGAGCCGAGCACAAUGGCCCAGGAAGAGUCAACGCGGAUUUGCAUUCCCCGGUGACGCUAGCGGAGAAACCACCACCCCGACGUCACGCUUAAGUCACCAUAUAGCUAAGACUGCCUCCCUGCUUCGCAGGGGAUUCGAACCUUAGCCUCCACCGAGGAGAGCCAAUGAUCUACCAUCCACGUCACCUCGGUCGGUGGUGCGGAUUUGCAUUAUUUCAAACUGAAACUUUGACAAAAGGGCAAAGCAGUAUCAUUUAUGCUCUUACAGUUGACAAGCAACCACCACCAAGCUAUUGGUAUCCUAUCAACUUUCUUAUUUUUCAUGGCUCUAUGUCGAUUCCCACACCAGACAAAAACAUAAUUGAAUUCUAGGUACACACUAACAUAGACAGAUGGAACUCUCCAAAAUCAUAAAAACGUAGCCAAUUGACCUUUUACACAUCACUAUUUGUUUUCACAAGAACUUCUCUAUGCAGGUUGUGAGGGUUGAUUUGGGCACUGCACCGAGGACCGCGUCUUUCUUCUCGCCACUGCUGAAGAUCAUGAUCGUGGGUACACUCCGGACUCCAUAUUGAGUUGCGAUGGAAGGGCUCUCAUCAGUAUUCAGUUUGAAGCACUUGAGCUUCCCAGCGUACUCGUCCGCUAUUUCUCCCACCACUGGAUGGAGCAUUCGGCAGGGCCCGCACCACGGGGCCCAAAACUCGACCAGCACAGGCCCAUCAGCCUUGAGAACAAGUGACUUCCAUGUAGUAUCUGUCACUGGAGGAACUGCAGGAAGACAAACAAACGAGUUACCCACUGAAUAAAAUUAAUUCUGAUCAGAGCCCGACAGACCAAUUUAAGCAAUGAAGUCAAACUUCUUUGGAAAAAGAAAAGAAAAAUGGUUUAAGCAGCUGAUAAAUUUCAAUAUCAAAGAACAUUAUAUAGAUGAGAAAAAUGAUUAUCUUAUUCUAAUAAGGAUCAUGAACUUUUCCAGACAAAAUGGGAACACAAGAUUCUAGGGGAAAAGUCACUCAUGCUUCUUCAAAAUUCACAUCUCGCCUGUACUGAAGUAAUGGGCAGCCCCAGAAAUGCUGGCAGCUAGAUUAAUGAGUUCAGACAACUACUAUAUCUCGUGGCAUUACUCUGCUGAAUUAUAAAACAAAGAAAUUAAACCUCCACGAGAAUAAAUUGAGUGCAGAUGCAGGACUUGCCAAUAAAGAGGAAACCAAUUAAGCUUAGAUGAUCGUCUGAAGGAAUAGCAACUUAAAAAUUUUGAAGUAUAUAUAAACCAAUAUCGAAGUCAAAUUUAUUACUUGCUAGUAUAUAAAAAAAUGAACACCUAAAGCAAGAAACAAAAUCGAUCUUUUUCUGCGCAUGUGCUUGCAUUGCUAAGAAGUCAGUAUGUGGGUCAAUGGGGCCAACAGCAAGAAAAAGUUGUCCUAGAAUCUAAAUGCCGAGAAAUUUGAUGAAUAAACACGACAAAUUGUAUUAAACUAUAAUAGAACAAACUUAGUCCUCUUUCUAGGACCCAUUCUUUCCAGAAUAAAGUUAAAGAUUCUCGACAAUUCAAAGAUAUGGUUGUAAAGACCCUUUGGACUAAAUUCUAAACAAAUGGUCCAUCAACAUAAAGUGCUUUGACCUUUCAGCAAGGAUCACGCCAACAUGUAGACUCCGUUGUAGAAUUCUCUAAGUAUUGAAAAGCAGGAGAACAAAGUAUACAUAUCAAGAUACCAACUGAAGCAGAACUAAAUCCCCAUGACAAAUCCUAUACUUCGCUUUGCACCAAGUACAACGAAAAUGAUCAGAUUUCCUUUCCAUCACAGAACCUCUCUUAUUUCAAAUCUCUUUUUACUCCCUUAAGAUUUUGUCUUUCCAUGCUUAAGUGUCCAACAAAAAAACAGAGCAUCCUAAACGACACACUAGUUACAUCAAUACAUACCACAAGAGUAGUUGAUCUACGCAUGGCAGUGUUUUCCAACAUCAUUCAGAAGUGUUUAUAUAGAAGAGCAUCUUGAACAUGAAGUAACAGGUAGGUGAGAUGAAGUGUCCACUUCUGAUAUUAAUUUUCCAUUAACCAGCUUUCCACCCUUUGAUAGUCUCCAUCAAGAAUUGCUUCCAGUCUGACUUGCAUGAGGUUUUCACGCUGCAUGUGCGUCAGCUGCAUGACUUUAAUGGUGUUGUCUUAGUCCAUGAAUCAAACAUGAACUUGACUUCUAGAUUAGGGUGAUAUGAUGUUAAGAUAGCACAAUUCACUUAAUUAUUAAUGAUGACACCAUGCUUUAUUCUUAAGAAUCUUAACACCAUUACCAAGUGUCCAGGUGAAAAUGAAGUGAAACAAGCAACUUGCCAAUCCACCUUUUAUUUUUUCAGGUAAGUAUAAACCCACUCCUAUCUCCGCCGAGUUUCUUAGUUCUUUCAAGAUACUUCGAGAUAUUAACCAAGCCCAAAUGCAGCUAGUACAGCAAACCUUUUCCCCAUUACUUGAAGAAGAAGACAAAAAUAUAAAAGAUGAUUGCUUAAAGCGUAUAUUCUAUGUCUAAGUGCUGUCAUACUACUGUGUUCUCCAGACUACAAAUGUUAAUGUCACUCCAACAUAAUUGAUCUGAUCAUGUUUGAAGAUGAAUUCUAAUUAUUUCAACAUAAUUUCGAACCGAAGUUGAAAAGAAAAUUGCAAAUCCUGCAGAAGACUAUGAAGGCCUGAAUUUAGGCUGUAUUGGACAUGAACUGCGGUUCAUUAUAAAGGAAACAGAACCAAGUCACUAUCCAAACACACACUUGGAAAAGAACUUCGUGUUGCUCCUAAAAGAGACAUCAAACAAACUUAUGAUAGGAGUGGAAGGGUGGAAAAAACCGGCCAGCAAACAAUACUUUCAGCGCAUAACUUAAAGUGGCAAACUUAUGCAUUCAUAUAUCCUAGUCCACAGCUCCACAUUCAUAGAACUACCCACUACCCAGUAGCAUCCUCAAAGCAGCCACAGACCCAGAAAGAUGGGAACAUCUUUGACAUUUCAGAAGGUUGUAUAGAAAUGUGGUCAAUGAUUGCAGCACUGCAAUAGCAUUAGAUCAACAAGUUGAACGUGGAUGAGGAUCACCAGAGGAAUUGCUGGCUCAGGGAUCAAAAUCUAUUUCAAUGCAAGUAUGUGACUUAAGGAAGAACCAGGUUGAAGGAUCAGGUUCCAAUAGUCCAAGAAACGUAACGUCUCCUUCCAGCAUUUCCAGCAAAUUUAAGCCAAAGCUUGAAAAUAAUCUAGCUGAAGAGCAUACUCUCAGAAAAGAUUUUAAAGAUGAAUUCCAACAAAAGGGUUUAUGCUACCACACAAACCUUACACAAUAGAGCAACCAAAACUAACAUACACGAAUAUCAGAGGACUCGUGAACACACAUCAUUUUCUCCCUUGGAGCUGACUCGGGCAAAGAAGUUACAAAUACUUUCAUUUUAUGAUGCUACCAGAUGCUUUAUAUUCAUCAAGAUCACUUGAUCUAAAAUUUUCCUCCAUGCAUCAGUGAAAGGACACGACAAAAAACUAAGACCUCAUCAGUCACGCCAUCCAAACCAUAGACAAGAAUUAUUGGGAUUAUGCUUGAAUGAAGAAAGCAUAAUCUAGAGAAAGUAAAAGGAGGAUGGAUCCACAAGUAGACAAAUGUUUUCAGGACAUAAACUUCCAGACCUAUAACUAAGGCUAAACGACAAGACUUAAGAGCAUCCAAAUAACUUUUGGUGCUUAGGCUGACAAAAUGAUCAGAUAGAAGUUCGAUCUUUUACAACUCCAUUACUUCCUCAAUUAACAAAAACAGUAAGGAAUGUGAAUUUACAUUAAACAUUAACUGGAGGAACUGGAAAGAGCUCAUUCUAAUCGUGUAAAGUAAAAGUGCAUACUUAUACCAGCUUCAAAUAUAACAGGGAUUCUGCUUAUCUUCUGUUUUAGCAAUUAGAAAACUUAAUCUAGAACAUAGAAGGCUGUCAUAUGCUUUGAGAUGGAAACAGGGUUAUACUUAGGGACCAAUUAAUCAGACUCAGCAAACAGGAUGCUUGCAGUAUGAAACAUAGUUAUUGUAAAGUAAAACCAAAAAGGUUGAGAGAAAAACCUAUCCUAUAUUAACUAAAGAAAGUUUACGGGAGUGUCAACGACUCAGUCAAUUGUCACCAAUCACCCUCAUUCACAUUAAUAACAAGUGCUUGCAAUAGCAUGUUUGGGAUUUAAUGAUCUUGAGAUGCACAUCUUCCAUUGAUGGAACAGAAGAAAAGGAACAAACUUUUAAUGAACUAUUGAAUCGUCAUCCAAUAUGAGUGGGCAAACACAUUCACAAACAUCUAGUUGACCAACAAUUAUAAUUCACUGUUUAAGCAGGUCAAAGGUGUUCCAAGUCUACAGGGACAAUUCUUCCCUUGUCAAACAUUAACUUCACGACAAUCACUAGCCAGUCUACUAGCGCAUUCAUUGAUCCAAGUCGUGAAGAUCAGUAUUCAUGCAUUACAUAUAUACAAAAUUCUGUGGUAAUGUGUUUGAAAUAAGAAGAUGGCGUCACUUUGUUAUAAUGGCAAACAUAUAAGUGAUUAGUAUCAAAGCAAAUGCAUCCCACUGUUGAUACUAUAGUUAUCUUUCCAUUGUGAAGAAUCUGCGAAAGUUUGAGGUAACAGAGCAUUUAGAGGAGACCUUAAGAUAAUUUGAGGUUUUGGGAGCAUAGUAAAUGAGUUCCUGAACCAAGGCGCUGACGAAUCCAAAUUCUCCUCAAGACUGCUGGUCUAUAUCUCAAACUUGAGCAUGAAAUUACGUUUUUCAAAGUUCUACCCAAGCAAAAAACAUGGUUAUUAGCAUAUGUCAGCAAUAAGCUGAUAUUCCAAUGCAAUCAAAAUAAGGGAUCGCGCCAACUAUUGGACUUUCUCUAGCUACCAGCAAGGACAUUAUCGAAGAGAAAGAAGGACGGGACUCUGCUUCUACCUUUGAUUCCUAUAAGGCGCACCUAUAUAUCUAUAUGGAUGCGUACUCAGCUAUAGCCUUCAUAAAGAAAUAUACAGAUCCAAUAAAUCGAUCUAUUCUACUUACAUCAGAUCAUACUGAUGGUCGAGUAUAAUUCCCUAAAUCAUACAUAGCAAUUCCGAGACGUUCCAUGAAAAUUCAGUGCUUGGUAAAAAGUAGCGAGUCGAACAACUCGUAGACUAUGAGAGAGAGCCUAUCUACAGCAGGAUUCUUGUAGUUAAAUUUGCUCCACAAGCCUUAGUGCUGUAUAUUAGCAUAGACACAAGUCUCUUUGCUUCUUUUUUUUCUCGAGUCUACCGAUCAAAUGCACACUCGAAACAAUUAAGUCUCGAUGCCGAAACAACCAAACUAUAGAACAUAUGGCAUUUCCAUUCAAAAGUCCCUAUCAAUCAGCUCAAUCUAAACCACAUCAUUUCGCAGUCCUAAAUUCGCGAGUGCACGAUAAACCGUUUCGGCAAAACCCCCUACGCCAAAGUCUACAAUCAACGAAAUACAAAAAGGAGGGAAGAGAAUGAAAACUCACGGUCGAGAGCAGUGUCCGAGGCUUCGCACACGAUCCGCCCAUUCCGCGAGCAGCGAGGACCUCUCGAGCUCCUGGAAUUCGACGGAGCGAGCGAUCGCGACUGAAUCCUCAACCCCGCGAACCCCGGCAAGGCGUCGGCUUUCGGCCGCGAGGGGAGGGAAAUCGCCGCCGGGGACGAGGCCAUCGCCGCCGCCGGGCGGCGGGGGGAAGGGCGAAUCUUCGGCGAGGAGAGAGCGACCGAGUCGAGCAUUGCCGCCAUCGAAGACAUGAGGAACGACCGCUGCGCCUAGAGAUUAUCGAGAGAUGAUAUUACGAGGAAGCGCGAGUUUAUAUGGGGGAGGGAGGGAGCGCGCGCGGCCGGCAGCGGAACGAGGGAUGCGAGAAAGUUAGAUGAGAGCGGUGCGCAAGGAGCUGAAGAUAGAGAGAGAUGGAGAUUCCGGUGGGGGACCUGAAGAUGGAAGGCGGCGAGGGAGAGGAAGAAGGAAGACGGGACAGUGUGGAAGUGCCGGGGGUUGACGAAAAACGAGGAAAGUUAGAUGGGCUGGAAUGGAAUGGAAUGGAUGUUGCCAUUGCCGUCGCCUUGCCGCGCUCGUUCGUCCGAUGAUUCGGACCAUCGACGAGGAGCAAAUCAUUGACGUGGGCGGGAAUGAUGACCUGGCCAAAAAUUGAUAACCACGAGAGAAAUAAAUUUUUCUAUUUUUAUAUUUAGAUAAGUUUCUAAAUAAGAAUACUUGUUCGAUAACGAUACAAUUCGUUUGAUAAUGAUAUAAAAUAUCUUCUUUUCAAAUGGCGGCAAUUGGGGGCCGCGAGACCGGCGAACGGCGGGGGCGGCAGAGGUCGAUGAUCGGUGGACGGCAACUGGCGGACGAUGGACGGCAACUGGCGGACGAUGGACGGCAACUGGCGGACGGUGGACAACCUGUUCAUAUCAAGGACGAAUGAUUUUAUCAUUUUUGUUCUAGAAAUAAAAAAAGUUAAAAAUUUUUACUUCUAAUUUCUAUUCCAAAUCUAUUUCUGAAACAAAAAUUUAUUUCAAAAAUAGAAAAAUAUAAUAAUUUUAUUAAAUAGAUUUCUAUUCUAAAAACAAGUUUGGAAUAAAAAAAUUAUUUAUGAAAUAGAAAUUGUAGUUUGUCACGCACCCCCUAUAUGAUCGCUUGUUCGGCAUGAUUUGGACUGAAUUUCCUUAAAUUGAAGAAGGGAUGGAAGAUAGAACUUAACUAUGUAACUUGCAAACUUGGCUAAGCCUGAAUUUGUCCCCAACUUGAACCACAGAGCGAUUGUUUAGUCUCGACAAGUGAUCAUUGAAUUGGGUAGGAUCAACCUAUUGGGUUCAAAGAAAUUUGGCCAAGAUAAAUCACUUGGUUAAGUCAAAAUUUGUCUCGAAACUAUGGAUGAUUGUUCAGUCUAGGCAAGCGACCUCAAUUCGAAGAAAUCCGCCCUCGAUAAGUCCGGUGCAAGUCUAACUCAAUUGCAUCGUUGUUAGAAUUAACUAGAUAAUUAAGGUAAUUAGUAUCUACUUCCCUCCAUGAAGUCUCCAAACUAAUCGGUACUCAUCCUAGUCACCAUGGAAAUUUAGUCACCGCAACAUGGCCUAACCCUUUUGAAUCGAAUUUCUCCCCAUAAAUGGAAUCGCUAUUGUUUUGGAUCACUCACUACGAUGGGUUUUCGGAUUGGUUAGCCGCAUGCAUUAUUUGGCUAUUACACCACUUUGUUCGCCCUUUUUUCAGAGGAUUCCUCGGAUCGAUCCUUCAAGAGCUCCUAAAUCAUGCCCCAUGGUCUGUGGAGAUGUCUCGAGACAACAAAGAACCGCCAACAGGUCUCCGUGUCCGCAGAUCUUCAGCAGGGGAAAGUUGCUUCCAUUUCUGUUGGCACCAUGUUUGGCUCUAGUGCCCUAACGCGGUAGAACCAAUCGAUAAACAUAUUUAUCUCAGGCACAGCACGUUCACAUGGCAAAUUAUAAGUCAUUAAUCAAGAAAACAAAAUGCAUACUUAUAUCUACGAAAACCAAAUGAAAAUUCUAUUUUUUUAAAAAAAGAAAAUGCGUAUGUAAAGUUUUUUCUUUUGUUAACCAAGAAAUCGCUAGAGACUCCUUUUGCUUAUGCUAAUCGGGGUCACACUACCCUCCAAUGUCUAAUGGUAUCGUCAGACAUUGUUGCAAGCCACCUUUUAGACGUAAAACCUCGGAGGCUCGCCCAAAAGUCAUGGAAUGCAACGAGAGGGUUUGAAUUCUCGACUUCGGCGAUGAGGAAAAGUAGUCACACUAUUUGCGCUGUCUAUGGAUGGGUUGCAUAUGUAAAGUUAUAAACUGCUGUUUUCUAGAAUUUUUGCCGUAACAUUUUCCUAAAGGUUAUUUCCGGUGGUAAACAGUAACACAGGGCAAACCUAAUUCAGCUCAUCAUUCAGCAAGAAUCCUGAAGGACCGGCAAAAACCAAAUGUCGCCUCACCGAAACGAGCGAAACGAGCGAAACGAGCCGACCUCUAAUUAAAAUAUGCGAGAGAGGAGACCCGAAAAAGGCCCCAAAUUUAAAAAAAAAAAAAAAAAAAUGCAUCUUUCUCCGAGAACCUUUCCAGUCAGAUGCUCGCCCUCCGCCGCAGCAGCUGCGCACUUCGCAUUCUCCUGCUUCGUCCAAAGCCGCAUGGAUGUUAAACCCUGCGCCCUCUCCGGCGACGGCAGUGCCCCCUUGACCUCCGCCGCUCGCGCGCCUCCGCGGCACGUCCACGUGAGCGGCGAAGACGGAGACGCCGCCGCGAAGGGCGGUCCCGUCUCGCCGCAAGAAUGGCGGGGGUGGGGGUGCGCGUCCCCGGUGCCCGCCGUGGUCACCGAGGUCAUCGAGGACCUGAAGCUCUUGGAGGAAGACAUGGACGCCCCCCUGAGCUUCGGCGGCAAGGGCGGUAAACUCCAGGUGGGCUCUCUGCUGUUUUGUUGACGGGCUCUUUCUUGAUUUUGGAAUGAUUUAUUGAAAUGGGUCUCGACCGGUCGUGUUGUGCUCUGUUUCGGUAGACUUGGCUUGACUUUGAUGCCGCCUGCGGUUUCUGAGGAUGAGCAAUUGGAAAGUAGGAAGCUUUUGUGCGGGUCUUCCCGGGAACAGUCUGGCGGAUGUUGCUGUCGCUAUGAUAAAAAAAGGAUGCGAUUGGUCCUGCGUUGUGCCUUUACCUAGAAGAGAUUUGUAUGUCAUUGAAAGAAGUGACUAGGGGAGGUUUUAGAGUUCGGGAAGUUUGGAACUGCAUAAGAAAAUCAGCCUCCUUUGGAUGUCUACACUUGUACGGCGAUGCUCUUGAAAUCUUGUCGGGACCAUUGCUCUUCGAGACUUAAAAAAGAUAAAAAUAAAGAAGAACCUUUGUUGUAACAAAAGUCUGCGUGAGAGCUCUAAUGUGACAGUUUUUGUAAACUAAAGGAUGAAAUUUUGCAAAUCUGAUAGUUUGGAUUGAGAAUCAGUGUCUUUAAUUGCUGUGGAUGCAUUCAGUUCCUCAAUGUUGCUUGUUCUUCAGGGCGAGUUCAAAGUGAAAGAGGACAAGAAGCACAGAGCAAAAUAUCAGGCAUUAGGUGACUCAGAGAAGAAACUUCAAUUCUUUGCUGCCCGACAGAUAGCAUGCCGUUUGCUUGGAAGCAGGAACUACCUUUGCCAAAAGGUACUUGGCUACUUUGCAAGGAUAGUUCUUCAACAUAAUAUCAAUUUUCAUCCCUCUACCAAUGCUUCAAAAUGUAUUCCAUUUUGAGAUAUGUUAGGAAUAUGUUGUCCUAUUGUUUUGCAGUGCUGGCUUCCUAUGGAAGAUUGUAUGUGUUCAAAAGUACUUCCCUGUUCUCUGUGGCAUGGUAUGCGUUUCUGGGUGUAUAUGCAUCCCAAGGUAUUAAUACUUUGUCAUUUAUGGUAUAUCAUACAUUUACAUUGAUGCAUCGGCCUCUGUUAGUGUGACUAGUCCUUUUACAGGACUUUCUGAGACAAAACAACACUGGGAAGUUGCUAUGGCAAUUAUUUGGAGUCCAAGCAGCAACUUUGUGCCUCUUUGGAGUUGCUGAAGACGAAGAGAUCAUGUGGAAUACCUUCAAACUUGCAGGUUCCAUCAUUUUCUUUUUCUUCUGUUUUUUUUUUUUUUUUUGGUGACUUUUCACUUCAGAGAUUUCUCAGUCCAAUAUUGCAGCAACCCAAUAAUGUUGAAGGGUCAAUGUUUGGAAAUAUUGCUAGUUUGAUAAUUUUGUUGAGUUGAUUAGAGUCAAUUUCAUAUCUUGGAAAUGCCUUUCCAUUUUACAAUCCAAGCGUCCCUUUGACUUUUUAUGUUUGGCUUUUUGGGUGAAAUAAACUGAUUUUCAGUCUGAGAGAAUAUUUAUUUAUUGGGAGAGAGGCAAAUUGGCUAUGGUGGCUGGGUAAUUUAUUCUUUAUUUGGAUGUGGUAAUUGGAGAUUAAAGAUCUUUAAGUCAUUAUAUUACGUUUUAUUGUAUCCUUGGGACCUGACAUGUAAUAUUAUCAAUAUCAGGGAAGAGUAGGGUUUGGUGCCUCUAUCCCAAUAAGAGUGCUCUGACUGAAUCUGUACAGGAUACAUUCAGCAGGGCACAAUUCCAGUCAGAGAGGGUAGUGCUUCUUCAAAAUUGACGUGACGGUCUUGUGCCAAUACCAAUGCUUGAAUCUUUAAUUCUUUAUUGUUGUCCUUGUCUCCUGAUUACAAUGGCUUCAGAUGUAAAUUCCUCUUUUCUACCUUCUCCAGGCUUCCAUUACUGAGAAAAAUGAAGAUAGAAUUUUGAAUUUUGUUCUAAUUGAUGGUACAUGGAGUAAUUCUGCUGCAAUGUUCCGGCGUUUAAAGGUAAUACUGGGUGGCAAAUCCUUUUUAUAUUACCUUUUUAUCUCCUCUGAUUUACGGUUUACACUCAACAAAGCAUACUUCUCUUCAUUGUAGAAAUAUGUCUUUGUCACCUAUGUGUAGUCAGUGCUGUCGGCUUUGACCCUCUGAACGGAAUUUACAGUUUUGCAUUAUUGAGACAACCUAGUGGUUGAUGCUUGGUCGCAACUAAUGAGUUUAUUCUGGCAUGACCUUGUAUUUUCCAACCUGAAGGAGCAAGCAAAGAUCGUUUGGGGGGAAGAUGAUCUUCCUUGUAUAUCUCUUGCUACUGGUGCAUCUGCAAUGCACAAGCUCAGGUGAUAUGAAUGGCUAGAACUUCUCUUCUCUUGAUUCUUUCCACUGUUUCCUGUAAUUGUAUGAUUUUUCCAUAAAAACCUUGGACUUCUCCUGUUCGUCUUAGAGCAUCUAAAACCACUCUUAAGCUUAAUAAGUUUUGUCUGAGUUUAGGCCACAGCCUUCAUGGGAUCGUACCUGCACAGCUGCUGCAGCCAUUGCCCUCAUGUCUGAGCUACAAGCUGUUCCAGAUUUUAGCUCCUAUGGUUUGGAUAAGCAGGCUGAAGCAGUGGAAGAUGCCUUGCAAGUGUUAUUAGAAGCACUCACAGCUCGACGCCUUCGAAUGGGCAGGUCCAUCACUCGUAAAGUGAGGCACACCAGUGAUAUCUGCUAGUAUCCAACUAACAAGUAAUUGUGGAGCAAUGGGAGGAAGCUUCAAACUAAUGAGGUAAUCUGGUGUUCAACUCAUGCUUGGAAACUUAAGGCAAGGAACACAGAUUGAACAUAUCUUUCGCAUAUUUUCGAAUGAAAUUCUAUCCGGUUCCUGAUUGUGGAUCCAUAGGCUGACAACUCAUAUCAGCAUACUGUAGUCAUGUUUUAGUUUAAGCUAUGCCAGCGCCCAGCAGUACCAACCAUAUAUUUUGUCAAACAUAUUAAACAGGAGUUCCUGGAAAAGCAUGCCAAUUUUGGCAUUAAGAUGUUGUCUUGAGUAAUCUUCUGGUUCUUUCUUUCUAUUUGUACUCUGGAUGGUCUCAUGGUUGUUGUGCUUAAAGUCACCUUCCCUGUUGUCACAAUGGCCUAAAAAAGGCCUAAAAAGAGCUUGUAUUUGUGCACAGUCCAAUACAAGCUGUGUUACACCUUUAUUUCAAUUCUUUGUCACCUUCCUAUGCUUCUAUCAUUUUUAUUAUGAUAAGAGAAAUGCUAGACUUACGAAACUGGUUUAUGAAAUUGGUAUGCUAAGUGAUGUUUCAUAUUGUGAGUGGCAUUUUAAGCAAGUGGUUCAUAUUUAAAAACCAUUAAUAGUUUUGACACAUCACUUUGUAAAUCAAUUUUGUAAACCAGUCUCAGUAAUUCUACCAUUGCUCUUACGAAUGCUUCAGGGUGGGCCAUCAGAGAAAAACCAGUGCAGUCACCAGGAAUAGUGCCUUCACCAGGAAUACCAUCGUGGGUGCGAGUUCAAAAUUUGACUCGCUUAGCUUCCUUGCAUCAAGUAGCCACACUUUUGCUGGCGGGCAGCCUCCUAGCAGCCUUAGAGAUCCUUCCGGAGACACCACAACACUUAUGCUCAAUUUUCCAGAUUUGCUUUGAGCUCCAUCAGAGAGAGAGAGAGAGAGAGAGAGAGAGAGAGAGAGAGAGAUUCAUUUUCUCUUAGCAGCUUUUUGUGGUAAAACUGAUGCUGAACUGACCAGGUUGCAUUUUUGGAGGUGGCUAUGCAAUACCCAAAGAUAUACAGAAUCGGACAAUGUCAUUCUUUUGUUCCUUAGAUAAUCUUCUGUCUUGGCUAUUUGCUAGCCUACUCAUUUACCUCCUAAGAGUUGCUUGAUCAUGAAACUUGGUUGAAUGGGUUUUUCUUCGCAUCAAUCCCUCAUUUGGCGAAGAGUGCUGUCUCCUACGAAAAUCUAACAUGUGGAACACAUAUUGAAGCGAUAAAGAUUGGAUGUUGCUUCUAUAAUCUUGAUGGGGUUGGUGGUCCCAAAACCUCCCUCAGUUGUCGCUCUUCAAAUUUCAUCGAAAUCCCCCAAGCUGGAUGAUUAUAUACAUUGCUCCUUGUAGGGUAACUUUUACUAUCAAGAAAAUCGAGUAUAUUCGUCAUUUCUAAGAAAAUGUUUGCCAAUAUCACUGCACUGACUUCUUCCAAGUUCGAUCUUUUUCCAAUAUUCAGAAAGGGAUUGGGUCAACCAACAAAGAAUUAAUUGGCCGAUGGUCAGAGAGUUAGGGCCUGUUUGUUUUCGUUUCUUUUUUUUUUGUUUUAAAACAACUUUUCUAUUUUUUUGUUCCUGGGCCUGUUUGUUUUCGUUUCUUUUUUUUUGUUUUAAAACAACUUUUCUAUUUUUUUGUUCCUGGGAACAAAAAAGGAACAGAAACGCGUUUGGGUGCGUUUUUGUUCCAAAAUUAUUUUUUUGUUCCCAGAAACACAUCUGGAACAGAAACAAGAAACAAAAAAAAAUUAUUUCUUGUUUCUGGAACACAUUUUAGAAACACUUCUCUCUUUUCUUUUUUUUUUUUUCUUCUUUUUUCUUUCUUUUUUCUUUGGCCGGUCGUCGGCCUCGGCCAUGGCCGGCGACGCCGUCGAGGGCCGGCGACCUCGCCGGAGCGUUGCAGGCCUCCAGCGAGGCCGAGCGUCUCGAUCGGUGGAUGUCGGCUGCGGUGCGGGGCUCGGCCGUGGGGUCUCGAGCGGCGGACGUCGAGGAGCGGAGUGGCGAGGACGGCCGGUCGAGUCGUGGGCCGGCGCGGGGUCGACGAUCGAGCGGAUCUCGAAGUCGUGGGUCACAGCGCGGUGAGAUCUGAUGCGGCGGUGGCGAACGGAGGCUCGAGACCUGCAGAUGCGUCGAUCGGGCGUGAGGCGGAGGGGCGGUCUUUGGGGCUCCGGCGUCGCUAGGUUGUCGACGGAGGCUUUGGGUGUAGGUUUGGUGUCGCGAGGGGAGAACACGGAGCGGCAGGUGACGGAUCUGGGGACGCAGAGGUCGGCGACGCCGUCGGGCGCGGGUCUGGCAUCGCGGCGUGCAGGGGGCGCGGUGGCUGCUCCGAUGAAUGGCCGGUACGGUGGCGGCGAGGAGGCGUCGAGCGCGGUCGCCGAUGCAGUGGAGGGAGACAACGGUGUGGCUCUGGGUCACCGUCGGCCUGGCGCGGCGAGGCCGACCUCGCGCCUGGUUGGGCGAGCUCGAGCUCGCCCAGAUCCGGCGAGGGUGAGCUCGCCUAGCCAAGGAGAGGUCGAGCCUCGCCCUCGCCGUGGCUGGGCGAGGCCGCCGGCCAAAGGAAGAAAAAAGGAAAAAGAAAAAAGAAAAAAGAAAAAAAGAAAAAAAAGAAAAAAAAGGAAAAAAAAGAAAGAAAAUAGAAAAAUAAAAUAAAAAUAUUUAAAAAAAAUUAUACAAAUUUACCAAACGUGUUUAUAUUCUUUUUAUAUUUCUGGAACAGAUUUACCAAACGCAUUUUUUUUUUUCAAAAAUUGUUCCCAUGGAACAAAAACACUUUUUUCUAUUUCUAUUCCCAGAAACAAUUUUUAAACAGAAACGUUACCAAAUAUACCCUUAAUCAGCCAAGACACUUCUAUUGUUGACAAUUGACCGAUGGAGAUUAAAACGAUUAAGCGCCUUGUCUGUUUAUAUUUCUUAAAAUUAAAGUAUAAUUUGUAGAAAAUUACGAAAAAUAUUAUAUUUAAAUGAUCAAUAUUUAUAUAUAUUACCAUUUUUUUUAAAAAAAAUAUCCAUCUUUUUUAUUUAUUUAUUCCGUUCCAUCAUUCCUUAAUAAUUUUUUAUUAAAUAAUAAAAUAUACUAUUAUACCUAAAAUAUGUAAUAAUAUAGAUACUACACACACCCACACACACAAAAUAUAUAUUAUAGAGUAGAAAGAAAUUUAAAUAUAUAAAUAAAAAUAGGAGUAAAUAAAAACAAAAACUAUAGUUUUUUUUUGUUAAUUUGAAUUGUCUUUUUAAUAUUAGAAUUCAAAUAUCAUGUAUAUUUAAUUAUUUUUUAAUCUUAUUAUUUUAAAAUAUUUUUAUUUGAGAAAAUAGCUUUUAUACCUUGAAUAUAAAAAUUAUUAUUUUUCUUUUUAGUUUGGAUACCCAUUAAGUUUAAUAUCAUAAAAAAUCUCAAAUUAGUACUAAUAAAUUUAUCCCAAACUAAUUUUUUGAUCAUGAAAACUGUAAUAAAUUUACAAUUAAUUUUUUCACCAUUAAAAACCGUAAACUGAUACACCUAUAAUAAAUUUAUUACAGUAUUCAUGAUCAAAAAAUUAGUUUGAGAUAAAUUUAUUAGUACUAAUUUAAGUAAAGGUGUGCAUGGUCCGUGUGGACGGUUCCCAGCCUAGAAUCGGGAACCAUCCGCUAAGGACUGGUUCCCAAAAAAUUGAAACUGGGAAUUGUCCGUUAGUUGUAUGGAUUCACUUGAGAAUCGGACUGUCGAUCCGGUCUGGUUUUCUACGUGGAUCUAUGGAACUUUGUCCAACCUCCAUGCCUUCCCCUUUUCGCCCUCCUACAUCUACUUAUUUUGACUUUCUUGACCAUGGUAGCUUUUAGCCUCCUCAAGUAUCAGCGCUGUGGUGGCCGUGACCUUUGUGUCGCUUCCGUCUUGGCGGCCAUUGCCAUCUUCGCCAAUGCCUCUACCUCUAUCAUCUCUUGCUCCUCCCUUGAGACCGACGAUGAGGAGGAUGACAAGGACGACGAGCGGUUCUUCGACCUAGAGUUCACCCCUAUCCCUAAAGAUGAGGACGAUGAGGAGAAGCCCGGAGACGAGGAGGAGGAAGAGGGGAGGCAGAAGCGGGAUGAGCCCAACAACAAUGAGGACGACAGUGAAUGUAGAGGUGGCGACGAGGAUGGCGACAAUAUGGAGAGAGAGUUUAAGUUCAAGGGGAGAAAAGAGAAUUGACUUACUGUUUGAUCAAGUCCGGACUAGAACUUGAAUAGGGGUGAGCAGAUUCGAAGGUGAAUCGAAGAGGAAGAGGGAGCUAGGGGACAAUUUGAACUAAGAGUGACAAUAUGGAGUAAGAGAGCAGUGAAUUGAGACAAGAUAGAGAUUAGAGCACUAAAUUUUAGAUUUACUAAUUUUGAAAUUAUUUUUAAUAUUAAAAAUUAAUAUAUUAUUAUGAACUAAUUUGUUUGGUCCGGGCGGGCGAUGGACGGGCGGAUCCGCCCAUGGAAUCGGGAACCGGAUCGGUACCCAUCAGUUUUCAUAAACUGAAAUUAGGAACCGAACCGGUUCCCUUAAGAACCACUAGUUCCAGGCGAUUCCGAUCUAGUUCCGAGCGGUCCAAGUGAGUUUCAGUUCUUUACACACCCCAAAUUUUGAGAGUUUUAACUGAAGUGGUUUUGAUUAAUAAGCCCAUUUGUCGUGCGACCUUGUGUGGCCUGAAUCUAGCUAAUUUCAUUUGGACCGCACUUGGAAAUUUGGCCCAUCUCUUUGGAGGUCGUUCGACCUUAAUGUGGAUAUGAGCCAACAAAAUUAGGUUGGAGGCUUUCGGGGGAGCGCGGAUUUGGUCCAUAUUCGGGCUGGACCCAAAUCCCUAUUUUCGAAUUUAAAAAUUAUUUUAAAAAAUCCAAAAAAAUAUAUAAAAUUUAGAAAAAAGCUUAAAAAUUAGUCUUCUUUUAAAAUGUGUGAAAUUGACAAAAAAUUGAACCAAAAAUUGAAUGACUUUUAGAGUUUUACAAUAGGAUUUUUGAAUGUUUUCUUUUCUAUAGAAGCAUGCUAGGUCAUUGUUUUUUUUUUGGGUAAAGAAUGCUAGGUCAUUGUUUGUGCACUUUCAUUUUGAUUUUACUUGAUUGUGCUUUUUCAUACAUCAAUUGUUAAUUUUUACUUUUAGCAUGAUUAGGUUAAAUUAUUAAGACCAUAAUAAACACUUAUUGUUUGGACAUCUUAGUAGAUAAGAAUCUUAGGGCUCAUAAUUGGUAAAAAGAUUGCUUGAUCACUUUAGUGAACAAAUGAUCGAGUUUAGGUAUCAAAAGGGAUAUUAAUUAGACAAUUAAUGUAAUCAAGUUCCCAAUUUCUAAAUUUUUUAUUACAUAAGAAGUAAAGUAUACUUACAUACCUCACUUAAUUUCUAAACAACUCUAAUAAGCUUGUGACGACUCUUUUAAAAAUCUCUAUAUCAUUAAUUUGGCUUAACAUCAAAUAUCCUAAUGUUGUGCGAGGUAAGAUCAUGGAAGAGCUUGCAUCUAAUUAAGGGCCUGCUUUUUAAGCAACAUUCCUAAACCAAUUUGUCUUUUCCUCUUUGGAUGAAAAAGAUAGGUCACGACAAUGGGUAGUUGCGUGACUAGGUGAUCAAUGUGAGAGAUUGAUCUGGUUACUUCUUGGCUGCGCAUGACAACGCUUUUGUUCCCGGGAAGAGUUUUUUUUCAGAAAUGGUUCCUUUCUAUUUCUGCUCCGGGGAAUAAUUUCUGAGUAAAAGAACCCGUUUGGUAACGACACAAAAUUUCUACUCUUGGAAUAGAAAAAGAAUAGAAAUGCGUUUGGUAACGUAACAAUUUCUUUUUUGUAUUUAUUCAUUUUUUAUUCUUGCCGAGCCGUCGCUGCCGCCCGCCCGCCGGAGUGACCGGCGGGCGGCGCCGGAGAUGGCGGCAGCGGGGAAGGUCGGUCCGCCUCCGGCGACCAGCAGCGGCGACGGUCGGUCCGCCUCCGGCGACCGGUGGCGGCGACCGGCGGCGGCGACGGUCGAUCGGCCUCCGGCGACCGGCGGUCGGCCGGCGGCGGCGGUGGUCGGCCGGCGGCGGCAGUCGGCGGGCGGCGGCGGCGGCGGUCGGCUGGCGGCGGCGGGGGGCGACGACGGGUGGUGGUCAACGGCGGUCAAUGGUGGUUAGCAAGAGAAGAAUAAAAGAAAAAAAAAAUUCACUUAUUUCUUAAACUUGUUCCCGGGAACAAGAAGCAACUUUUUUUUACUUCUCAUUUUUAUUCCAAAACCAUUCCCGGGCUAACUUUUUGUUCCCGGGAACAAAAAACUAACUUACCGUUAUCAAACAGGUUUCUAUUCUUUUUUUGUUCUGGGGAAGAAAAGAAUAGAAAUAGUUGGGCUGGGGAUGGUUAUCAUGCGCAGCCCUUGUGUCCCAUUUGUAUAAAUAUGGAGAACCGCAUAGGGGAACCAUAUCUAAGAGAAUCCUGCCCGCUCAGACCAAUUGGGAACCCCAUAUCUAAGAGAGUCCUGACUGCUUCGACCAAGAAGGGAACCCCAUACCUAAGAGAUGGAUUAGCUGAACAACCCAAACCAGCCGAUGCAGCCUAAUCAACCAUUUCAGCCGGUACAUUGAGCUCAACAGCUCUAACAAAUAUAUCAUACUUUUUAGGGCAGCGAUCUGGAAAGCACGAGAACCCAACAUAGGCACACCGCUACAUAAGUAAUAAUUCCUUUGAUUUAGAAAUUUUGUUUUUGGACUGUCAUUGAUGUUAUUUUUUGUCUUCAGGAUAGCAGAGUGCCAUCGCCAGACUGACACACUGAAUAAUCUAAUUCAAGUUGUUCAAUUGAUUGACCAACAUAAAACCAUUGCUUCAAAUGCAGUAGAUUAAAUGAGGGUAUUUACCCAAUUAUUACCAAAGUAUUUUGCUAAUUGCGGUACGUUUCAAGGGGUGGAAAACGCCGCCACUGUUGGUGUUGGCAACAGCAACGAGACCAAGUGGAGGGUGCGCCACCUGCAAUUACAUGCGGGACUCGAGCCGAACAAUGGGAGUUUCUGGCCUACCUGGUGGGUGGUCGAGAAGAGAAGAUAAGAGUCUUCCUAAUUUGACUUUAAUUUUUUUUUUUUAAAUUUUUAUGUAUUCAAUGUGUUCCGUUAUGUCAAACCAUUCAACUAUUCAAGUGUGGCUAAUGAUAGUUGAUUAUGUCACGCUUGAACAAUCGAAUCGUCGAAAGUAACACAACACAUUGAAUACGUAAAAAUUUAAAAAAGAAGAAAAAAAAAGAAAAAAAAGAAAAUGAGGAGGAUACUCUUAACUUCUCUUCUCAACCACCCACUAGGCAAAGUGGAAACUCAAGUUGUUUAGGACGAGUCCCGCAUUUAACAGCAGGCAACGCAUCCUCGGUCUUGUCGUCGGCGGCAACGAUUUCCAACCUUUGAAGCAUUCUGAGAUCAACAAAAUGUUCUAGUAAUAACUGGGUGAAGACCUUGUUAUAUUUAAAACAAGAAAUUCAUGUUGCUUAAUCAAUUGGACAACUUGAAUUAUAUUAUUCAGCAUUGUGGUCUGCCUGGGGGCAGCACUACGCCGUUUUAUUGCCCUUAGACAUGAAAUAAUAUCAAUAAGAGUUAAAAAGUAAUAAAUCUAAAUUGAAUAAAUUAAUACUCACGUAGCAGUGCGCGUACGAUGGUGCUCUCUAGAUUAAUGACCCGAAAAAGUAUCAUACUUUUAUUAGCUAUUGAGCCCAAUCCAUCGACAGAACCAGAUGAUUAGGCUAGGUUGACCGGGUCAAGGCAUUUAGGCCAUAUUUGGUAACAUUCCUGGAAACAACUGAUUUUGUUCUUUUAUUCCUGGGAACGAAAAAAGAACAUAAAUUUGUUUCAUAAAUUUUUUGUUCUCAAUGACAAAAAUCAAUUUUUUUAUUCAUAAGAAUAGAUUUAUAAUAGAAUCAAGAAGUAGAAAAAAAGUUAUUUAUUAUUCCCGAGAACAAUUCCUAAAAUCAAUUUUAAUUUUUUUUCUUCUCUUCUCUUUUCUUCUUUUUUCUCUUCUUCUCUUCCCUUUUCUUCUUCUUUCUUUUGGUUGGUCAGCGGCCUCAGUCAUGAGCAGUGACUAACCAGACGAGGAUCAACGACCUCGUCAGAGCGUUGUCGGCCCCUAGCGAUGUCCAGCCAUGGCCUUGCUUUCGCCUAGAUCUGGCGAGGCCAAGGCUCACUUAUGCCUAGCGAGGCUCUAGCGAGCUUGUCGGACCUUGCACCGUGGCCGGCGACUGGCUACAAAGAAGGAGGAAGAAGAAGAGAAAGAGAAAAAAUAUAUAAUAAAAGUAUUAACAAAAUUUUAAAAAAUAAAAGAAUUUAAGAAUUUUACCAAAUGCAUUUCUAUUUAGGGAAUAUAAAUUUUGGACAAUUAACAAGCGCGUUUUUUAUUUCUGGAAAUAGAAUUGAAAAAAAUCAUUACUGAUCAAAAAUUAUUUUCGAGAGUAGAAUUGUUAUCAAACGCGUCUUUAGUUAAUCAUCUCUUAAGUGUGGCAUUCACCUAUUGAUUGAGACGGUGAAACCCUUUCAAGUAUGGGGUCCGCCUUGGUCGGACGAGGUCUCAUGUUUGUACAAGGGGUCAUAAAAAGCAACAAGAUCACGUUACCCACCUGUUAUGCUGCGGAAGCAGCGAAUGCACGCAUUUCCACCGUUUCAUGUCCCAUGAGAGAUGGAUAAUGAAAGGACAAGUGAAAUAAUGAAAGAUAACUGCACGAGGGGAUGGAAAAAGAGGGAAUGAAGGCGGGUUUCUAGAAAGAGAGGCUAUAAAAUAAAUGAGAGAGAUGAGAUGGUAACGUGGAAUAAUUAUUUUGUCGAGAAGAGAGAGAAAAAGGCGUGAUUAGAGCUUAGAAUUAUGCGAUUAGAGCUUAACACACGGAGGGAAACGGCAACACUUGGACAUCUCUUUGUACAUUAAUUUCAAGGGGGUGGUGCGGCUGUCUUGCUCUUCAAUAGGGAUUCUGUCGCUUUCUUUUUUUAAAUCUUUUAAGCAAAUAAAGGUUAAUUCAUUAUUAACCAACUACUCGUGAAUGGGGGGCCACACACAUUGCUAGUUCCCUCGAACUUGUGAAGAACAAAUUAUUCCUAAAUUUAGAAGGACAACAUAAUAUCUCGUACAUUACUUGGACAUAACAAAAUAUAUUUAAAUUUAGUGAACAUUCACGUGAGAAAUUGUAAAUAUAUCCUUAGCAACUAUAUCCUUUCCGUCGCUAAUGGAUCCUUUGUGUUUAUAAAGAUUUUCCCGCAUAAGCACCCUCAUGAUUGGAAUAUCGUUUUCCUCUUCUUCUUUUUUGUCCAAUUCUUAUCUAAUUUUUAUCUCACUAUUCCUGGCAAAAUGUUAUCCUUGAUUCUCAUUUCUUAUUGGCUCGAGAUUAAAAUUGACGGUUGUCACAUGCUUUUUCGAGAAAGUAAUUUUUGUGCGGACUUUUUAGGCAAAGUCAGGACAUGCACUCCCGGAUGGGUUUACUCCUUGGGAUUCACCUGCUCCAUGACCUCCAUUUUGAUAAAUUUCUUCUAACCCGAACGUUUUACGGUUCUUUUUUUUAUUUCUUUUCAAACUUUAAGAAAAGAAAGAAAAUGGGUCACACUUUUUCUACUCUUUCUCAAGUUAAUACACUCCCUAUUAUGAUGUUUUGAUCAUAUUGUCCUCCAUGGAUCCAACUUUCAGACAACGAUUCCAGUUUAAUGUGAAGCUAAUUUUAUAUCCCACUUUCUAUUUGAUUUUUUCUUUUUCUUCUUGUAAACAAACAAGGCCCUCGACUCGAUCGUUCUUCUUACCAUCCUAUUCAAGCUGCGUUACACCUCUAUUUCAAUUUUUUGUCAACUUCCUAUGCUUGCAUCAUUUUUAUUUUGAUAAGAGAAAUGCUAGACUUAUGUAACUGAUUUAUUAAAUUGGUAUACUAAAUGAUGUGUCAUGCUAUGAGUGGCAUUUCAAGCAAGUGAUUCAUAUUUAAGAACCAUUAAUAGUCCGAUGCAUUAUGUUGUAAAUCAAUUUUGUAACAUGAAUCUUAAUAAGUCUAGCAUUGCUCUUACGAUGUCUCGAGGUGUGCCGUCAAACAAAAACCAGUGCCAUCACCAAGAGUAUCAUCGUGGCUGCGAGUUCAAUACUUGCCUUGGAGAUCCUUCUGAAGACACCUCGACAUUUAUGUUCAAUUUUCCAUGGGGAGAGAGAGAGAGAGAGAAAGAGAGAUUCAUUUUCUAUUAGCAGUUCUUUUGUGGAAAAACUGAUGCUGAACUGACCAGGUUGUAUUUGAGAGGUGGUUAUACAAUACCUAGAUAUAAACAGGACUAGGUAAUGUCACUCUUCUGUUCCUCAAAAUAAUACUACGAUUUAGCUAUUUGCUGGCCUACUCAUAUACCUCCCAAGAGUUGCUUGAUUAUGAAAAUUGGCCAACUUUAUUUUUCUUCGGAUCGUCCCCUUGUCUGGCAAGAAGAGCCGCCUGCUACGUAGAUCUAAUAGGCAAAACAUGCAUUAAAGUGAUAAAGAUUGGAUGUUGCUUUUAUAAUUUUGAUGGGGUUAGUGAUCCCGAGACCUCCCUUAGUCGUUGUGCUUCAAUUCUUCAUCAAAUUCCCCCUAGCUAGAUGGUUAUGUACAUUGAUUCUGGAACGAAACUACACAACCGAGACAAUCGAGUAUAUUCGCUAAUUUCUGAGAAAACGUUUGCCAAUUUCACUGCACGGACAUCUUUCGGAUUCGAUCUUUUUCCAAAAUUUGAGUAAGUACCCAUCACAAAAAAAACAUUAAAUCGUCAGGUGUAUAUAGUCGGGGUCAACGGUCCGGAUGAAUCCAAAGACAGAGAUCUGGGCGACGGGCAUAUGAGUGGAUUGGGUGUCAUUUUGUUUGAAAGGGACUGGGUCAACCAACGGAGAAUCCACUUGGCCAAUGGUCAGACAAAUGAAUUAGCCAGGACGCCUGUAUUGUUGACAAUCGAGGGCCUUGUUCGUUUACUUCUCUACAAAAUCAAGUAAUGAUUUUUAUAUUUACAUUUUCUGAAAAUCUUAUGAUGUUUUGGAUUAAAAAAACAUUAAAAAGUAACCUUUGUCUUAAAUGCAAAUUGGGGAUGAUUGGUUCCGAUCCAGUCUAAUCCAAUCCGGUUCAACGGAAUUGUUCACUUAUUUUUUUUUUCACUGCUAUUUUUCUCAUUACUUGGAACCGGAUUAAGAUAGUAUUUAAUUCAUAAUUUGUCAAUUUUUUGAAGAAAUAAUAAAAUAAAAAAUAUAUUUAAUCGGUCCUAUCUGAAUUUCUCUUGAAAUUGAGAACCGAAUCAACCAAAUACCAAUUAUAUUUUAAGAAAUUGAAAAUCGAAUCGCCACUUCUUAAAAUCGGAUCGAAUUAAUCGGUCUAGUCUUGUUCGGACGAUUUCUUACUCGAACAAUCCCCUGUGCCCACUCCUAAUGCGUACUGGAUGAAAUAUUAAAAAAGCAAAAUUCUAUUCAAUCAGAGACGACUGAAGUCACGGACCGAGGCGUGACCGAUCAACGGGAUGAUUCCUCGGAGUGGGCAGCCUCGAAACCACCUUUGACAGGCUCAGGCACGUCCACGUCAACCGCCCCACUCACUCCCACCGCCUCCCUCAAUCAACAUCGUUCGACAGCCUGACAAAACGCGGCUUCCCUCUCUCUCUCUCUCGCUGGCUCGCUGGCUGUCCCUUCUCUCCGAGCUAAAAUUAGCAAACCCCCCUGUCGAAACGAGCUCGUUUCAAGAAAAACAGAAAAACCGUCGACGGACAGGAAAGGAGAGCACCCCAUUUGUUCCUUGGAGAUCGAUCGACCGACCGACUCGAUUUCGAGAUUGGUCUCCGGCGAGCCCCGGCAAGAAGCACAGCAGAAGAAGAAGAAGAAGAAGAAGAAGAAGAGUCUUGCGAUGGCCCCCAAACCGCUCCCCUGGGGUUGCCUCCUGUUGUCUUUCCUGCUCAUCGGCGUGGCUUCUUCCUCUUUCAUUCACGGUAAAUUAUCGGCAUUCUUGGUGUUUUUGCUGUUGGAGAAAUUCUUUGGCUUUUCCGUUGUUUCUCUUCGCCCACCUGAUCCCUCGUUUCCGUUGGGUUUUCUUGACGGUUCUUGCCUGUCUUUUUUCAGAUGGCGUCUUCGAAUCUCGGGAAGCUGCUGGCCGUAGCCUCCUUCAGGCCAAAAAGAGUAAAGAUCUUUCUACAUUCUCAUUAUGGUUUCUUUUUCUUUGAUCUCCUUGUUUUACUAAUUGCGCGAUCUGGUCUUAAUCAAAAUCGGGAAGUCUGUAGUUUCUGGGAUGUUUAGGAACACCGACAUCUGUUAAUGUCGUAGGGGUGCUGAUUAGUGGUAUUGGACAUUGACCUUGCAUUGCAACUACAUUUUUCCAAAUUGAGGCUGGGUGUGUUUAGUAAUUAGAUUCUGAAGCUAUUUUCUAUAAGCAACACGCAAGUGCUACCGAACAAAUGCAAUUGAGUUGGCAUCUUAUCCGGCAUGGCCGUCUUCUUCCUCCCUCUUGAGCCCAAAAAUAACAAUUGUCUUCUGGAGCUGAGCGAUGCUGAUUCCCAUCUUUGGAACAGGGAAUCAGGUGAUAGCUUAAUGAAGCAACUCCUUUUUCAACGCCUUAAUUGCGUGUAAGUUGGUGGUCGUGUGAAUUUAUGAUAUAAUUGUUUCAUCACAUCAGUGAGUUUUCUCCUUAUGGCCCUUGAGCAAUAAGCUCUCUCUACUUCUUGUUGUAUGAUUGUUUGCAACAUUACCGUAUCACCAUCAGGUUUUCCCGAGUCCUGGAUAUUAUCAGCCUACGUUUCAAUGUUCCAUGUCAAACAUAAGAAGUUACACCAGUAAGUGACGUAGAAGAAGUAGUAUAGCCUGAAACAAAAAGACUUUUCAGAGAGCAUGCACCAAAUAACUUUGGCCGUUACUUGGUUUUGGCUUCUGAGAAGAAGCUAAUAGGUAGCUGAACAAGGUGUUAGGUAGGGUUGAGUUCCACACCAAUAACUAAGGUUGUGUAGUCAUUCUUUUCAUGAUGGUCUUCAAUAGUCCAUUUAGAAACAGCAAUGUGCUUGCAAUUUGUAAUCCCCUCCGUGAUCUUUCAUUAUGAGGUAUCAGUCUCUGCUUUAGUUCCUAAUUUUGAUAGAUAUAUAUAAAACUGAAUAGAGUGAUCCAAAAUUAGCAUUUUAAAGUUGCUAUUCAGUGUUGUUUCACUGAGAUUUUGCUAAUGUGAUAAGAGCUUUAGAUUUUGUUGAAUAAUGCUGCUAGGACAUCUCUUUGGCAGAGUUUAUUGGAAGAUCAUUGACUGCUACUUUUCUUCAAGUCACAAUGGAGCUAUUUGACAGUCGCACUAUAGUGUUCCCAUCGGUUGAUUUACUGUGGAGAUGAUUGCAUAUCAUGAUAAUUGAUGGACAUCUAAUUUAUGUUGGAUCACACUGGUACUGAAUUCUAAAGGAUUCAUAUCUUCAUAGUCAGAGUAAGAAAACAAGCUGACUGUUUCUUAGAGUUAAGGAAACUCUUCAUCAUGUCCCCCAACAUCCUGGUGCCCAGCUUUCCCACAAAAAGCUGCUAUCUCAUUGUCAUUGUUUUCCAAAAUUUGGUUGGUUAUUGCACCAACGAAUUAAUUAGAAUCUGGAAUGAUCCCACUUAAUUUACAUAAAAGUGCUUUAUGCUCUUCCCUGACUAAAUCAGGCAGGUUUCUACUAAAUUAAAAGGAGGAAGGGAAUCGGGAAUACUAAGGAGUAUGUGAAACAUUAUUUGUGCAAUCCAUACCUCAGUUUAUAAUUUUGUUGUGUUAUAGAAUCUCAUUGCCUUCCAUCCAUGCCUAAAUUCUAUUCUGCGUAUUUGAGUUGAAGAGAUGUGUGAAAGCUCUGCAUUUGCUACAUGUCCCUCUUUGUACUUGCUACUCGAUGGAACUUGUGUUUUAUAGGUAGAAGACAAAUGGCAGCUGUAAUUAUAUGAGUUUUCAGUGAAUGGGCAGUAUUUUUAAACCUAAAUCUCUUUUUUUUUCCCUGUUUGGGCUCAAAGGUUGCUCUGUUGACUUCGAGAACCAGAACUACACAAUCCUCACGAGCCAGUGCAAGGGACCCCAAUACACAGCCAAGCUCUGCUGUCAAGCUUUCAAAGAAUUUGCGUGUCCCUUCACGGAUCAAAUAAAUGACCUCACAACUGAUUGUGCUUCGACCAUGUUCAGCUACAUUAACCUCUACGGAAAAUACCCUCCAGGACUCUUUGCUAAUGAAUGCAAAGAAGGAAAAGAAGGUCUCGACUGUAGCACGGUACCACCACCAGCUGCAGCUCUGAAGGACUCUGUCAACGCGAGUGGAGGCGAGUUAGUGGCAAAACAGUCUUUGUCGUUGAUGUUCUUGGGUGGGUUUGUUACGCUUCUGCUUCAGCAUUUCUGAAGUAAAUUGCCUGUGUAAAAAAAAAUGUGAAGGUAUCAUCCUGCGGGCUUAUAUACUUUGUCCAGGUGGUGUGGCCUUUCCUCCCCAAUGUCAUAGAGCGCUGCUAUUCUUUUAUAAGAGAUGUCUUAAAUUAUGGCUAGAUCAUAUGACUCUGCAUAGUCUCUGCCGAUCGUAGUUCCAUUGUUUUCACAGGGUGAUUGCAGAUGGCUUUGAUUUCCCCUUUUUGUUUGUAAUUCAAAAUGUUUUGUCAAGUACCUUGUAUUUUCAAGUUCAUCUCACACGGGAUAUUCUUUGUAUCUAUGGGUGGCUUCUGAAACCGUUUCAUUAGUUGAUGGAAAGGUCCAAUGAGAUCUUCCUACUCGCUGAGAAGUGUGUCUGCAUUUGACUGUUGUUGAGUGAUGGCCUAGUGGCCUUUUUUGGGGCUCUUUCAGGAAAAACAAAAUUUUUUUGGACGGCGGUAGAAUAAACUAUAAACAUCUCUCUACUAACCGUCUUUCUUCCAUGGUGAGUAUGUAAAUGCCUGGCCAAGUCAAGACAGACUAUGCUUUGCAACUAAAGGAACCCCUUUUCUUAGUGUUAUAUCCCACUACUUUGAUGAACUUAACGUAAUUAAAAUACCCAAUUUCUUGUUGGCAUGUAUCAUGUGAAAAGCUGGCUUGUCUCACGACUUCGACACUGGUUUGCGCAUAUGGACAAAACAGCUGGGCAAAAGUUAAAGAGAGAGAAUUCGAUUUGAAUUGUUCCUCCACAGGCUUCAGUAUCUUUUACGAGCAGAAUUGUUGCUUCUGAUGGAGCGUGCCACGUUUUCUAGCAUAAACAAUUGGAGGUGGAGAUGGAAGAUCGAUCUGUCCCGCACGGAAGUUGCCUACCAGGUUCUCGAGCUCGGUCGUCAUCACAGAAAAUAUUAUUUGCUCUCAUUAUUGGAGCUGUAUGCUGGUCCACCUCGUGCUGAGCUGGAGUUGUAAAGAUCUGAGCUCAAGAUGCAUGCGCCGGUGGGAACGGAAUAAACACAAUAAAGAAAUGAAGAACGUUUGGUGACAGUUCAUGAUCCCAUAAAGCGUGGAAGCUGGCAGGUCGGUUGUUUGGAUUGAUCCUAAGAGCUCCGACUUGUUCUUGCUUUAAUUAAAGGUACUGGCACGGACCUCGGCGGGAUUCCUUAAUCGGACGUGCGUCGGGGCACGUAAUUCCUCGCACAGGCCGGAGUAUAAACUCAACUUGAACCGCAUCGUCAUUGAGACUGCAGACCGUGGCGGGAGAAAGGGGAUGGGAGUAAUAGGUCUUGCACAUAAUGAAAAACCGACACCAAGAAAUUCUCAUGCCAUCGGUCUUGUCUGUCUGUGCUCGAACGUGGGAACAUAUGGUUUUUUUGCUUCUAACUAAACAUUAUUCGCUCGCGACAGGAUGCGCGUGCUAGGUGAGAGGGCCGCAUUUAGCCGGCGCUAUACUGCUCGCCGCAUCGAUGAUUACUUCUAAACAAUUGACACAGAAGUCCAGUGUCUCAAUUAAAAAGAAGGCGAAGCCAAAAUUCGAGUUCUUGAAGAUGAAAUGGCAUAUUCCGAGUGUCACACAUUGGCCGCGAGAUUCAUUCUUAAUGGGUUGGAACCGUCUUCCCUCCGUGCAACUGUGCGUGCGCUUACCAGAAGUUACAGUAGAAGAAUUUAACAGGGUCGGAAUAACAGUUGGAAUCAUACCAUUAAGAAGUUGUCCUUACAAGAAAUAACUUCCUACUCCUAACAGGCUAAAACUAAGAACCACAACUUUACUUCUCUUUCGAAAUGAGAAACGCAAUUAAAAGCUGCAGUCCCAGGUUGCCACCCUGCAAGAAUUCGGGUAAAUAUCUACAGAUUAAAGUCCAAGGAUGAGAACUAAUGGAGUCAUCUGUGAGCCGUAACCAGCGUUUCGAUGAAGCGCAGGCCGUCGAACCGCGGGGCGAACUUAUCAGCCGAGCCCGAGUUUUGCGAAGAAGCAGCUUGUUCGGUGCUCGAGACGUGUUCCUGAAAGCAAAGUGGUAGAAAACCAAUCAACCGAAUGACCAAGAUCAAUCUCGACCGUAACCAGAGGACCAAAUUUCACUGGGCAAAAUUCCUUUUUUUCCAUCUGGGAGCGAAGAAACUUCGCUUCUGUCGGCAUAACAUCACAGGACAGUCAAACAAUUGCGGCUAUUCUCAAGAACCAAGAAACCACUUUCUCGGCCGCCAACAGAAUGCAUACCUGGUUUGGAAACUGAAGCUUGGAUGUGCACGAGAAGUUCAAAGAAGAAGAAGAAGAAGCGAUGGCAGUAGCAGAAGCAGCAGCCGCCGAGACUGCAAACAAUCCCGACUUCUUCAUUGUCGGACAAGCUUUGAACUUUCUUCUUCCCCUGUUUUUUCUUGACCCAGCGAAGGGAAUUGAACCAGCGAGAGAGAGAGAGAGAGAGAGCACGAGAAGAGAAGACAAGGUGUUUUGGAGAGAAACAAUGAUGGGUUCGGUGCCUACCAUCUUAUUAAUAUGAGGUCAGGACUCGGACAGCUUCCUGGUUAAUUUGUGGUUGCAGGUGGUUCGUUUGGCACAUUACAUCACGUACCAACUGUCUGACCUCUUGUCUAAUUUACCGUAGUGCCCCUGCGGCUCAAGUGUUUUUCUGCUCCACGAGAAUCACUUGGUCAAAUAGCAGUCAUAGACGGAAGUUUAGGUUCAAUUAGGACCUCAAUUUUGGUAGUGCAUGCAUAUCGGAUAGUGCAGUGCACUUGCACCAAUAUAUCCAUCUUCAGUACGGCUUUUGCCUUAAAUUAGAUGCUCCUUUAAAGAUUGCUGACACGAGAAUGCGAUUAUCUAAUUAUGACAAUACAAUUUUCUUAAUGUUAGUUGAUUCCGAAUUGAUUUGUUAGCUAUUUGUGAAAUGUCUUUUUGGUUCUUGUCAGUGCAAUAUGGUACUUCCAAUCCCAAAAGUUUGAUCACCAACUAUUCAAUUCCAUCCAUCAUUCCCAAGAUCAAACCUCAGGAAACAGUUCAUCAAGCCCUCAUUGUGAUUGCCGAAGAAAAGUUGUGUUUUCCUCCAAAUGGGGCUAGUGCAGCUACCUCAGCAACUUUACUGGCAGGUGAGUGUUGCAGCAGUUGGGGCUAGGAGUUGUUAGUACUUGACAUUCCCCCGUUGAUGUCCUAAAACCUCAAGAAGACAUUACAAUUCACCUUUCAGUCAAAACUGUCUUUAAGUACGUUUGAUCUCCCUCCUUUAAGGUUAGAAUUUCAUGAGCAGUAAUGGUGUAAAUAACAUGCGACUUACCCGGUGGCACAUGUGUGGUGGCUAGCAUGUGUCGCCCUUAGUGGUUUACCUCCGACUGCCGGCCGUGCGGGGUUCCUAAGUUGCAAAAAAAAAAGAAAAAAUCCCUUUUGACCUAACAAAAUAUUUGUUAAUAUGUUACGAUGGCGUGAAUAAAUAUUACCUUUCCCGUGAAAUUUUUAUUCGUAGUCAAAUAUGCACUAGGUCCACAAGCAUCAGGGAAUUUAUGAUUUUUCAAUGAGAAAAUUCUGUAGUUAAUUAAUUUGGUUAAGAAGAUUGAGCCGUGGCAAUUUACGCUUGGUGACCCAGGAAAUAUUAAGACUAGUGCACUCCGCAAAUGCAUUAGAUGAUAUGACGAAUACUACGUGAGCAUGUAUAUUAAUGAGUUUCAACGCGUGCGCAUAUCACGUCUUUUAACUGAAUUAAUUCGGUGUCUUAAUCUCAACACCUCUGACUUCUAACUUCUUAUGAUCCGGUUUUCCGUCUGGGCAACUUUCACGGCAACCACCGGCUGGACGACACGUGUGUGGUGGCGGCGGGACCACGUGCGACCGCAGCUGGGACUCCCAGGCUUUGCCAUCGGGUGGCCAGUGGCUACUGGCCAAUGCCUUAAGCGAUCGGCAGGGGACCGUUCAUCAUGGGGGACCGACGGGUAAACCGAUGGCUGACGCACGUGAACUCCCUCUUUUGCCCUCGGCCUGAUCGCGUAAUUACCUCCCGCCGAGAAACUCCAAAAAUCACGAUCGGAUCCCAAUCUCGCCGCCCGCUAUCGAUCUCCGGGUACUUUCGCAGCUCCUUCUUGCACGUGCUGCAAAAAGUCAACCCCAACAGCGUAAUCCUUAGAAUAAUUCAACGUUCGAAUUAAGGUAAUCGCGGACGGUUUCGUGAUUAACAAUACAAUCAACUCUCGCAAAUUUUUUCCUUUUUCCUUUUUUCUUCUUUUUUCCAAUUUGUGGAAUUUUGCUCCUCCCCCCCCACGUGCAUCCUGGGGAAAGCCGACCAGUGCAUCAGCGCUAGAUGCAGAGAUCAAUUAUGGGACCCGGCGAGUAAUUUUCAGUGCUGUUUUCGAGCGGGACGUGACGUCUGCGGGGUUAGGUGGAGCUCGAUUUUUGCCAUGCCAACUUGUGCCUGCGCGGUCCCCCAAGGGAGAUGGGAUGAGCCGUGACCGACCCGUGCAGCACGUCAAUUGCAUCACGGUGCUCGUGCAUUGCAUCCAAAGACCCCAGCGGUCGUCCGCCUUUAAAGACCGACGCAUUUGUGACAUGAAUCGUGCAGUUUCAACCGCUUUAUAAAAUCCAAUCAUGGCGUGCGCGCAUUCAGAUCAACACUCUCUUUUUACUAGUUCAAGAGGAAUUAUUGUCUGAAUAUCUUUAAUUCAUUAUGAAAAUAGUAAUCUAUUUCAGGUAAAAGAAAUAUAAAUAAUAAAUAAUUAGAGAUUAUUGUAGAGUUUACUCUUUCUAAAAUUUGUGAUUUAUAAUAUGCCGUUACUUUCGCAAUAAUUCAAGAAUUAGUAUAAAGCCCAUAGUUUAAUGAUGCUUUAAUGUUUCCGAUGCAAAGAGGCCACUCGCCUUUUAGCUAUAUCCAUAGGUGUCGCAGUGAUUCACAGCUUAUCGAUCACUCGAUGUGACCAUUGUACACACUUUAUAAUUAAUGUCCAAGAAUUACACGUUGAAGAUAUAAAAGUAAGACUCAGGUUAAAGUACAUGAUUGCUCUAUGGGUCUCCAUGAUUGGUUUUGCUAGUGCAUUACCCAUCAUAAGCCGGAUCUAUAUAUACACGAGAAAAAGAAGAUAUUUUUUAAAAUAAUUCAUUUUUAAAAAAAUAAAUAUGACCUUAUAUUAGUCAACUUUUUUUCCCCGGCAUAAAUUUGCCAUUUUGCUUCCACCCUUUUCGCAUGUUCCAUGAGUUUUGUCGGGUUGGCGUUUCGUUUGUCGUCAUGGCCGAAGAAGCUCCAGCCGACAUUACAGCACAAAGAACAAAGAGAAAUAAAAAUUUAGGGAAAUUUACCAAUCGGCAGAGACAAGACGAGCCACGCGGAGGAGACAACAUGGCAUGCCAAAAGAAAAGUCAUAACAAUAAAAAAAAAUAAAAGUUGGAAGAAUAAUACAGGCUGAGGAACAGGAUGUUCUUGACAGUUGGAACGAGAACAGGAGACGAAGUGCCAAACGUCGUUUUCGCCCGGGGGUGACCCUCAUUUGUUUUUUCUUCUUCCUAUUUUUUUGCUACAGUACAGUCCAAGCAGAAACGAGGCCAAAAAAUUUGUAAUUGGCCGAAACUCUCUCGUCCUCGUUCGUUCUUAAAAGUAGAACCCUUGCAAAGAAAACCAAAGUAUGGAGGAGAUCUGAAGAAACCCAUUUUGUAAAAGGUAAAUUUUUAUAUUGGUGAAUGAGAUCCCAAAUCCGUUGUAGUCUAGUUGGUUAGGAUACUCGGCUCUCACCCGAGAGACCCGGGUUCAAGUCCCGGCAACGGAACAUGUCAAUUUUUUUUUUUUUCGUGUGUCUUUCUCUUCUUUUUCUUUUCUAUUUCUUGUUCUGAAUCUUCUGGUUUGUUCACUGUCAUAUGGAUGCAAUGAGAUCUUGAAGGUCACUUGAGAUAUUCGCUAGCCUUUUCGGGUUUUUUGCCCAGGUGACCAAAAGGUCCAUCAAUGGUAACUCCUAUGCUGAAUCAGCUUUUUGUGUUUUUCUAUAUUGUUCCGGCUGAAGUGACGCUCUCCCGAAAUUCCAGUAAAUUUUUUCUUUUGACCAAUUCGAGCAGGAAUUGACAUUGCAUUUUCAGACCGUUGGAGACAAGAGAGACAAGAAACUGGUCGGAGAUCUAUCUGUGCAAAGCUUUGUUUUCACAUCACUUGAAGGGCCUGCUAGAUUAUGAAGGCUCAGAGGGAUGCGCAACGCUGCCUAGUGCCUACAAGAGAAGCCCCAGUCCCAUUGAAUCUGAAGAUUUCAUCUAUUUCUCCACAGUCAUUAAGCCGCAAAAUGAAACAAGUUGGAGCAGGUAAGGUGGCAACUUGAACAGGAUAAAACCAGGAGAAGCCAACUCUGCAUUGCCGGCGUAAAGCCGAGAAAUUUUACAUGAACAGGUUUCAGUUAUCAACCUGGACUAAUAUCCCAGACUGAGCCUUGGGAAGAGGCCUUCCAAGCUAAGCUCGAGUGAGCUUGAUCAAGUAUCACAAAUCUGUUAAUGACUCCGCUUGGCUAGUUUCAUUCAUUCCACAAUUUAACAAUGCCUUUUCCAGUUAAAUCAAAGCAUACCAUUGCCCUAUAAUAUAGGAACCAUCAGCUGCCGAAGCCGCGUGAAAGGGAAACAAGAAAUGGCGUGUUUGAAAGAAUGUUGCUGAUAGGGCAGGUCAAAUGUAGCCCUUCAGCUGCAAAACACUAAUACAUAAGCGUCAGUUGGUACUUGUAACAUCCAUCGGAACUUUUAGUUUGCUCGAUGGAUCGAUAUUUUGUACUUUAAUGCAGAGCCAAUCCCAAACAUUAAGGGAACAAAAAGAGAGUAUAACCUAUCAUGGGGUGCAUGGAGAUGUACAUAACUACUGCCAUAUCAGUAGGGGAGGCCCAAUGAUGGUUGCAAUUGGUCUGCAUAACUUUGUUACAAAGUAGCGAGCAACGUAAAUGCAGAAAGUAGGGACUGCAAACAUAUCAUAAGAGAUUCCACAUUCUAAUUACCCUAGGAUUACUAGUUACCUGUUUCUUAUUAUGUUCUUCCCAGAAAGUAUUUGGGAUAUCUGGACUCCCCGAACAAACACCUCGUUGUAGAGAAUCCUCGUUUGCAUUGACUGAAACCCGGGAAGCCAUGCUAAUACCGUGACCGGUGCCAUGACAAUCACUCCAAACAAGAGAUCAUAUAGUCGAGCCGAGGAAACAACAAUGUCCCAAAGCCUAGUUCCUUGGAUAGAGGACCUAAAAACCUGUGCUAUUGAAAUGAUUCCCCAGCCAGUGGGUAUGAAUGCCAGCAGAGCAGUGAAAAGAUCAACCAGCUUAAAAUUUGUUAACCGCAAUAAGGCAACUAUUGCUAGAGCCACCGAAACAGCAGUGCCCAACAGAACUUGCCGAUAACAAAGGUGAUUCCGGAUCACGUACUUCUCUCGAGCGCAAUAUAUCACCAUACACACUGCAAAAACCGCAGCUAUCGAUAUCCACGACAGUAAGUAAACCAGAAUACUGGCACUCCCAGAGGAAAUGUGAAGAUAGUAAACGAUCCCAUAUUGGAAAAAGAAGAAGCGCAAUGCCAGGAUUACCUCUAGAAACUUCCCCCAGAAACUUGUCGUCCGCAAAUGGUCCUGCUCCUCGUACCACCAUGUUUCCCAGCUCCGCGUGAACAAACCUCCUCGGUCCCCUAUCCAGCUCAUGAAUUCUUUGAAGUCGUCAACUGUCUUCAACCAAUCAAGACCAUAAGGGUUAAAUAUGAAAGGGGAGAGUAUCCACGAUGCGACCAGAAACCAGCCCGCAAUGCUCGUGUCUAUGAAUAAGAAUGCGCCACUAGCUAAAGGGCUAUAAAUUGUGUAUAAUGUAAGAACCAGCGCAAUCUCCAGGGCCUUGACAAAAUGGCUACGGGCAUAGAGUCUGUAAUUUUCAGCAAAACUCCUGUGCUGCACAACAAAGCCACGGCCAGUCCCCAGGUACUUUGCACCACCAUGAAGAACUGUCCUGCCAAAGAAAUGGCUACGAGUUCCCAUAGAGAACGUGUAAAAGACAGAUGAAAGCUCAAGCUGCAUUACCAAAAAAUCCCACAAAGCCGAGAGGAUUCCAUGCUCAACUGAACCGUCCACAACCGCUGGAAGGCCCGUGAACAGGAUAAGUUGGAUGAACUGUAUAUUUACAACUGGACCGAAAAAGUUCUUGCUGCUUGCUUCGUCUAGAUUUUCUAGGCCACUCAGAGCCAUAUACAACCUCCCCCACAACAGGCCAUAUACAGUCCAUAUCACCAUUAUGUUAUUGAAGUAGAACCCUACAGUGGAAUGAAAGAGCGAAAGCAUUCGGAAGAAAUCAAGCUUACUACCCAGCCGAUAUAUAUCUCUACUGAGAGCUAGUUCCGCACUUCCACUAGCAAUUUUGGCUUCGAACAUUGAUAUUUGAUUCAAUCCAACGUCCCUCCCCUUGCCAAUCUGGAUGUACUCGUGGUGUGUCACGUUGCCUCCACGCAAGGUGCAAUUAAAGCCUGCGAAAAUAUCCUCGCAGAUGUUAAUCUUUCUGGAAGCCUUGCUGAUCCCACCUCGUGCCAAGAACCAAAUCCUGUCGAAAACAUCUGGAUGGCCAUAGUGCAUUCGAACCUUCAAAGGGUUGGCGAGGACACGCUGUCCCGAGGUAACAAAACUUGUUUCCUGAGCAGACAUAAACCAGGCAAGCGAUGAAACUGAACCAGUAAAUAUAUGUUCCCUCAGACCUAGAAUAGUGGGAUUCCGGGUACCAUAGAGCCUCUCAAAUUCCUCCAACAAAUUUGGCAUCUUAAGUGCCUCCUCUAUGUAGUUGUCUUGGUUCAUAUCGAUUGUCUGGACUGCAUCGCCACGUGUGAAGAUAAUGGCCUGAUUUUGAUUCUCCGGUUUUCCUUCUCCUAGCUUGAAGGGACCGGGCAACUUAAUUCUGUAUAUUUCGACUUCUCUCCGUAACUGUCUAUCAUACUUGACAAGAACGGAGAAAUACUCCUUGUCAUCUUUACCCACACUCACCUCAUCAACAUAUGCUACGCGUAGGGCUUCAUUGUUUUUCAUUAAAUACAAUAUUUCUUCUGCUCGGGGAUCCCUAUUUGCCUUCUGAGAUCCAUACUCCUGACAAGCAACAACAUAGGCAUAUUUCAUGAGAGCAAUACCACGCUCACAGGCACAACCUUCAGAAAGCAAGCUCGUCAUGCUGAAACAAUCCGCAUUGUCAUCUAGCAUUGUGGAACCCGGCUCCUGUAGCCCUUGGGAGAAAUCCAUAUCAUGAUGGUAUUCAAGGAAAGCUAGCAACUUCAGGGCCUUGUAAUAAUUCAUCAUUCCCCUGACAGUGCGAGCAAGCGUCUGACCUCUGUGUGAUGCCCAAAGCCGGAGAUCACGUAACUUGGUUGUCCAGAUCUCAUCAGGAGACUCCAUUCCUUCCUGGCGCAUCCUCUCCAUGAAAUUGUGCCAAUCGUUGCCGUAAAUUGUCUGCAGGUAAAAUAAAGUGGAUAUCCCAUCUUCAUUCUUUUUCUGCAGUUCUUCCUUGCUAUAUAGCACUUCUUCAUCAUAGUAAGGGGUUAGAACACUGAAAGCUUUCAUUUUCCCAACUGGAGGAGCUCGUGGAAGAUCCAUGAUUAGAGAAUUGCAGAAGAAGGCAAUUCGCCUUUGAGCCUCUUCACUUGCAGGAAUUUUUUGCAGUGAACCCACAGGCAUUAAAAUCAUCUGCAGGCGUCGAAUUUGCUGACUGAAAAUUCCAUCUAUAGAAUUUGGCAACUGAACAGCAUUCUCAAAUAGAAACCCUGCACGAGAUGAAGCCAAACCAUUCUCCUUCAACUGUUGAUAGCUUUUCCUUUGCUUGAAAAAGUCUAGAGUAACAACGUUAUAAAGGACCUGUAAAGUACACACCACUUCAUCAGGAUCUACAACAGAUCUGUUCAACAAUUCAACAAGAUGGGUUAAAGUUGCAUGAAUCUUUGGUAGUACAGUCAUGUCAAACAUUUCACUGAAUUUUCUGAUUUGCAGCGAAUGAUCAAUUUCUUUAAACAAAACAGCAACAAUGGAGUGCUCCUCAGAGUUGGGCCCUAAUAUCUUAAGUAAUAAAUGCUUGACACUGUCAUAAGCUUCAAUGACAGCACAACGCCUGUACUCAUUCUUGCAUAUCUUGUACCAGAUCCUAGUGUCAGGAGCAUCUGCUAGUCGAUGCGCCUCACUCAAUGCAAAGAGCAGCUCGUCAGAGAGCAGAAAAUGGGGCCAGCUUAUAACUCGGGAUGUCCAAGAAAUGUUCGGCAGCUCCAGCAACUCAACUUCUCGAUCCGAGAUGAUAUCCUCCUCCCUGAAAGUCCUAAUAAUCUCAUUCCACAUCACGGCAAACUUACGCACCAAAAGCUGGUUACAUUCGAGUUUCUUAAAGUGUGGAGAAACCCAGUUGCUUGGAUCUAACAACUUGAUGCAAUUGAAUUUGUUGCUCCUCAUCGACUCCCUCUCGUACAGCAUCUGCUCCUGUCGUGUGAGAUUAAAUUUAUUUGCAACUUCACUAAUAAUAUGGUCAAACCACGACCUCAGAUGCUGAUUGCUUCUGAUUUCACCCAACCUCGAGAACAGCCCAACUGCCACUCCAACCAGGAAUGUCCAAAUCGAAUACCAGAUUUGCAAAUCCAUCAUAUAAAUCAAGACCACGGGAAACCACAAUAGCCCAAUGGCAAGGCCAUUGCAGUCGGCAAAAAAUUGUUGCCGUUUAUAUUCUACAUUCCUAAGAUGCAACAACUCUUUUGUAGGAUUAAUCAUGGGUUGGAUCUGUAGAAAGUAGCUGAAAAGGAAUUUUGUCACAAGAACCAAUACCCAAAAUGUGGUAUACUUUGCAUAAUCCCUCGUACUUUCCCCCAAGUGACGUCCCACAAAAGUCGGGCUCAUCAGCACCUCGCACAUCUUCCAAUUCUUCCGAACAAGGAAGUGGCCAAAAGAGGGAACACAGGACAGAGCAAAUGCUGAGAGCUUAAGAAGGAAAUACACAAAAGCCAAUCCGAGAAAAAGCAAAAGCCGGUUGUUAGCCUCAGCAGACCACUUCCCAUCCCAAUUCCUCUGUAACCAAAUCCUUACAUAAAACCAACCCAAAGCGGCAGUCCACGUUGCUGCGAUGACAUUUGUCAGCACCAUGCGCAUACCGAUCCACCACGUCUCUCUAGAGACCAAACCCCAUUGCAUGAUGGAAUGAAGCAGCGACUCCAGAAGGUGCAAACCACUCCAAGUCACAAAUGCGCUCAAAACCCGAAUUUGCACCUCCUUAUUUGGCAAGGCCUGCCAAGGAAACUUGUGCUCCUCCCAAGCAAUGAUAAUUGCCACUUGAAGGAAUAAAACUAACAUCAGCCACAACCUAUAGAAACUCCUGAACAAGUUCCAAAACGACCUUUGUUCAACAAAACCAGUCUUGCCCGCAUUCUCGAAAGAUCUACUCUCCACAUCCAAAGGCCACUUCAGCUCCUCAAAGCACCUUCUGCUCCAGAAGUACUCAUUGAUAUCAUCAUAAUUCCUCCAUUUGUUAUGCGGGGCAAUCCCAUUACAGCCUUUUUCAACCUCCUCUUUAACAACAUCAUAAAGGGGCUUCACAAUAACAUCCAAGAAUCCAUUUUUCCCUGAACAUUUUGGCAGCAGAGGAGCCCCAGUGUCCGGAUCCAUGCGAUCUUCCAAGAUCAUAUUCAACUCCCUCGCCAUGUUGUGAAAUAUAUAACAAAUGCACUCGGGCAAAAACCGCAAGUUAGCGGACUCGCCCCAGAUGAGGAGAUAGAGAGAGACAUACAAAAUUUCAUGGCAAAUUGUUCCAGAGUUACCGGGACCAUCAAUCAGCCUUACCUCGGACUUCUCCCCCAAGAAACAGCACCAUUCCUCGUAGUUCUCGAGCAGCUUCUCACGGAAACAGCGGAGAACUCUAGAAUCAAGUGAAAUGACGUCAUCUUGCGGCGUUUCGGCGCUGCGCAAGUGGUGGUUGGCGAGGUGGAGGACAAGGUGCUCACGCUGAUUCCGAGCGUUGUCCUCCUGGAAGCCAUAGAAGAGAGAAAGCCAGUCAAGAAGGUCGUAGUGACUCUGCCGUGGUGCCAGAGGUGGUUUCUGAAGAUCGGCAGUGAAGGUUUGCAAGGUGGACACCAGGGUGCCGAGAUCCGGCGAUCGACGGCAGCGGUGAUCGCCAGAGAGUUUGCUUAGUGGGACUAUAUUGUACACUUCUUCUAGUUCUGCUUCUUUCUGGUCCAUCUUUACGUGUAUGUGGAAGCAGAGAGGCAGAGAACCUGAGCAGUAGCUUGCCUGUGCAUGUAUAUUGUUAGGGAGAACUCGGGUACAACAAUUCACCACGGCCAAACGCAAUCCAAGAUCAAUUUCUCUCCCGAAGCAAAAUCAACUAAAAAUUUCUUAACCUCCAGCAACAACUAGCAAUGUAUAGCCUCACAAAAUGCAAAUAUCACGCCGAAAUAAUAAGUAGACAAAGCAAAUAACGACACCAAGGAUUUAACGUGGAAAACCCGAUGCGAGAAAAACCAUGGACCGCCCAAAAACAUCAACUAAUCACCAAGAAUAGCAGGAUACACAAAGUAUUCUUCUCUAGUCACACACUAAAGGCUCAACAUCAACAUUACAAUCAUCUUUUUCCCACCACAUAAGUUAGGAGCAAGAAAACCUUAACCGCAACUGGAGGAUUCGAAGACGGUUCUCGACUAACAAAAACCAUCAACUUGUAGCCCUCGGUCUCAUGAACAACAUACUAAAAUUUGAGCCGAUUUCGUCAAUAUUUGGCCUUCGAAUCAAAGCCGCAAAGUUGCAGCCCUCUUCCUUCUUCUUCCUUCCUUGUGCAGUUUUUUUUUUCUUUUUCUCUCUCCUCUCUUCACUUUUCAACGGACACCCCACGCACGACAACUUCCACUUCUUUUUGUUCUUUUCUUUUCUUUCGAUUUCGUCAAUAUUUGGCAUUCGAAUCAAAGCCGCAAAGUUGCAGCCCUCUUCCUUCUUCUUCCUUCCUUGUGCAGUUUUUUUUUUUCUUUUUCUCUCUCCUCUCUUCACUUUUCGACGGACACCCCACGCACGACAACUUCCACUUCUUUUUGUUCUUUUCUUUUCUUUUUCUUUUUUUUUAAUGCUGGCUGGGCCCCACAUGAAGGUGGACCCAGCCAACAAAUCUCCCCCUCCACCUCAUGUGGGAAGAUUCGUCAUGCCCACUUUUCUUCUACAAGCAUCAAGCUUCAUCACGGGCAAGGUUUUGGUCAUCAUGUCGGACUUAUUGUUGUCGGUAUGAACUUUCUCAAGUAGGAAGAGCUUCUCUUUUAGCUUUUCUCGGAUCUAAUGAUACUUCACAUCAACAUGCUUCGAUCUUGAAUGAAACACUGGAUUCUUGCUAAGAUGGAUGGCAGUCAUGCUAUCGCAAUAUAGAACAAACUUCUCUUGCUUCAAGCCCAACUCUUGUAGGAAUUUUUGCAUCCAUAAAAAUUCUUUACCUCAUUCGGUAAUAACAAUAUACUCCGCUUCAAUUGUAGACAAAGCGGUACAUUUUUGCAAUCUCGAUUGCCAUGAAACAGCUCCCCUGCAAAGAUUAUUAUAAAACCCGAUGUGGAUUUUCGGGAAUCAACAUCAUCGGCAUAGUCCGCAUCCGAGAAGCCAUUCAACUCAGGCUUUGUAUUUCCAUAGCACAAGCAAAGUGUAGAAGUGCCUCUAAGAUAUCUCAAAAUCCAUUUAACAGCAGUCCAAUGCUCCUUACCUGGAUUAGAGAGAAAUCUACUCACAACACCAACUACAUGAGCAAUAUCCGGUCUUGUACAAACCAUGGCGUACAUCAAACUACCCACGGCUGAUGCAUAAGGAAUUUUCAUCAUCUCAACCUUCUCUUUCUCACUUGAAGGACACUCAUUACUACUCAACUUGAAAUGGCCUGCAAGUGGAGUACUCACCGGUUUACAUGUGCUCAUGUUGAAUCUUUCAAGAACCUUUUCAAUAUACUUCUCUUAAGAUAACCACAGUUUCUUAUUCUUCCUAUCACGAGUAAUCCUCAUGUCUAAGAGAUGCUUAGCCGGGCCUAGGUCUUUCAUUGCAAAAGCUUUACUCAACUCAUUUUUCAAACUCUUGAUUUUCUUGGCAUCAUGCCCAACAAUCAACAUAUCAUCCACAUAAAGUAGGAGAAUAAGAAAAUCAUUAUCUGAGAAUCUUUUUAUAAAAACACAAGGAUCGGAAUUUGUCUUACCGUAUCCUUGUUCUUCCAUGAAUGACUCAAACUUCAUAUACCAUUGCCGAGGCGCUUGCUUGAGAUCAUAUAAGCUUUUCCUCAAUCUACAUACAAGGUGUUCCUUGCCUUCAACUUCAUAACCCUCUGGUUGCUCCAUAUAUAUCUCCUCUUCUAGGUCUCUAUGAAAAAAAAACCGUCUUUACAUCAAGUUGUUUAAUUUCUAAAUUUAAACUGGCGGCCAACCCAAGAACAACUCGAAUAGAAGAUAUCUUUACAACCGGUGAAAAAAUCUCUUCAAAGUCUAUGCCAUUCUUUUGACGAAAGCCCUUCACAACAAGUUUAGCCUUGUAUCGUGAUUGUAAACUAUUUUCUUCCGUCUUCAACUUGUACACCCACUUAUUUGUGAGUGUUCUCUUACCAUGAGGCAACUUCACCAAUUCAAAUGUGUGGUUCUCAUGCAAGGAUUUAAGCUCUUCUUGCAUGGCUUCAUGCCACUCAUUCUUUCGUUCACAUGAUAUAGCCUCUUCAUAAGUUUCUGGCUCUCCUACAUCAGUGAGUAACACAUACUCAUGUGGCAAAUAUUUUUGAGAAGGCCUAUGCUCUCUUUCAGAUCUUCUAACUUGAGGUAGGAUAGAUUGUUCUUGCUCAACUAUUUCACCUGUAUCAGCUGAAGAAUCAACAUUAUGUGAGGACUCACCAUCUUCAUGACUUCCUUGCACUUCUCCCCCAUGAUUUCUAUCAACAUUAGAAGGAUUUAGGCUGAAAGUAACUGAAUGUUGAGUUGUAUUCUUUGGUCUCUCCACCUUGUCAAUGUCUUCAAUAGUUUGAUACUCACAAAACACCACAUCUCGGCUUCUAAUGACUUUCUUUGCAACUAGAUCCCAUAACCUGUAGCCAAACUCUUCAUGUCCAUAACCUAAGAAGAUACACUGUUUAGACUUGUCAUCAAGCUUGGAUCUUUCAUCUCUUGGAACAUGCACAAAUGCUCGACAACCGAACACUUUUAGAUGGCUGUAGGAAACAUCUUUGCCACUCCAAACUCUUUGCGGAACAUCCCCCUUAAGAGGAACCGAUGGAGAAAGAUUUAUCAAGUCUAUUGCUGUUCUCAUCGCUUCACCCCAAAAUGACUUAGGCAACUUCGCAUGAGAAAGUAUACACCGAAUCCGAUCAUUAAUUGUCCGGUUCACUCUCUCUGCCACUCCAUUAUGCUGUGGUGUUUUUGGAAUAGUCUCAAGCUUGAUACCAUAAUCCCUGCAAUAGUGUUCAAAUGGGCCUCUAUAUUCACCACCGUUGUCAGCCCGAAUACAUUUCAACUUAUUCCCGGUUUCUCUUUCCACAUUGACAUGAAAUUGCUUGAAAGUCGUAAGUACCUGAUCUUUAGAUUUCAAAGCAAUAACCCACACUUUUCUAGAACAGUCAUCAAUAAAUGUCACAAAGUAUAAUGCACCUCCAAGAGUUCUAGCAUCCAUGCAACAAACAUCAGUGUGAACUGAAUCAAGUUCAUUUGAUUUCGUGUGUAGAGAGGAACUAUGAAAUGAGAAUCUAUGUUGCUUACCAGUCAUACAAUGAGUGCAUUCCUUUAGAUUUUUCUCUUUCAAAGGCAAAAUGUUCUUUCUAGCAAGAGUUUCAAGUCCUUUCUUGCUAAGAUGACCCAGCCUCAUAUGCCAUAAAUCAACUGAGGAAUCCUCCACUGCAUUUACCUCUUCUUUAAUCAAGUCAGCUUGCAUGGUGUAGAGAGAGCCUGUCUUUUUACCUUUUGCCACUACCAUGGAACCUUUAGUCAACUUCCAUUUGCCAUUAAAGAAUGAAUUACAAUAACCAUCAUCAUCCAAAGCACCCGUAGAGAUCAAGUGAAGUCGAAUAUCCGUAACAUGUCUCACAUUUUUCAAAAGCAAAUUACAUCCGACAUCGGUUUCCAAAUAAACAUCUCCCAUGCCAAUAACCUUGAAAACAUCACUAUUUUCCAUCCUUAUGCAACCAAAGUCGCCGCCGCGAUAAGAAGCAAAGUAAUCACGCCGUGAGGUGACAUGAAAAGAAGCCGCGGAAUUAACAACCCACAUAGAGUCUUGGCAUGUAAAAUUCACAUAUCCGUCAUCACAUACAAACACAAUAUCGCCAUCGGAUGCAACCACCGUUGUAGCUUGUUUCUCUUCUUUCUUUUGAUCUCCAUUUCUAUCAUGGAAUCUAUCUCUCUUUGGCAACCAACACUCUUUUGCAUAAUGUCCCAUUUUGCCGCAAUUAUAACACUUGACACUCCUCCUCGGUCUUGAUUUCGACCUUCCUCUUGACUUGCCUCGGGUAUCAUUUCUUUGAAACCUUCUUGAUUGACUUCUCGCCUUAUUUUCUAUAACAAGAGCAUCCGAUGUAGAGGUGACUUGCCUCGGGUAUCAUUUCUUUGAAACCUUCUUGAUUGACUUCUCGCCCUGUUUUCUAUAACAAGAGCAUCCGAUGUAGAGGCAUAAUUCAAGCCUUUUCUUCUUGUUUCUUCAUUGAACAAGCUUUCUUUAACCAUGCUCAUAGAAAGCACACCAAAAGGAGCCGAACUGUUUAACGCCACAACCAAUGUAUCCCAACUAUCAGGAAGAGUACCAAGUUAUAAGCAUGCUUGCAAUUCAUCACCAAGAUCAAUCUCAAGAUUUGUCAAUUGAUUUACAACAUCUUGAAAUUCACUCAAGUAUUCUGCCAUAUUACUCCCCUCCUUGUAUCUCAAAUUCACAAGUCGCUUAACUAGAAGAGCUUUAUUUUGUGGAGUUUUUCUCUCAUAAAGAUCUUGUAAUUUCUUCCACAAAGUGUCCGCCUUUGUUUCUUGAGCAACAUGAUGAAACACACUAUCAUCAAUCCAUUGUCGGAUAAACCCAACCGUUUUCCGAUUCAUUCUCUCCCAUUCUUUGUCUUCCUUAUCUCCUUUGGCUUCAUCACCCUCAAUAGAAUCAAAUAAGUCUUUGCAAUAUAACACAUCUUCCAUCCGAGGCUUCCAAAUAGAAUAAUUCGAGGCAUUUAACUUAAACAUGGUGCUGCUGGUUUCUUCCAUUUAACACUAAAAUUCAGCCGUGCUCUGAUACCACUUGUUGGGGAGAACUUGGGUACAACAAUUCACCACGGCCAAACGCAAUCCAGGAUCAAUUUCUCCCCCGAAGCAAAAUCAACUAAAAAUUUCUUAACCCCCAGCAACAACCAACAAUGUAUAGCCUCACAAAAUGCAAAUAUAACGCCGAAAUAAUAAGUAGACAAAGCAAAUAACGACACCAAGGAUUUAACGUGGAAAACCCGAUACGGUAAAAACCACGGACCGCCUAAAAACAUCCACUAAUAACCAAGAAUAGAAGGAUACACAAAGUAUUCUUCUUUAGUCACACAUUAGAGGCUCAACAUCAACAUUACAAUUAUCUUUUUCCCACCACAUAGGUAGACAAAUAAGUUUGGAGCAAGAAAAUCUUAACCGCAACUGGAGGAUUCGGAGACGGUUCUUGACUAACAAAAACCAUCAACUUGUAGCCCUCGGUCUCACGAACAACAUACUGAAAUUUGAGCCGAUUCCGUUAAUAUUUGGCUUUCGAAUUAAAACCGUAAAGUUGCAGCCCUCUUCCUUCUUCUUCCUUCUUUGUGCAGUUUUUUUUUCUUUUUCUCUCUCCUCUUUUCACUUUUCGACGGACACCCACGCAUGACAACUUCCACUUCUUUUUGUUUUUUUUUUAAUGCUGGCUAGGCCCCACAUGAAGGUGGACCCAGCCAACAUAUAUCGCAAGUAGAGUUGAGAGAGUGGGGGAGGUAACGAUCAAAAUUCUAGUGGGAAAGUGACACGGAAAGUCGUAUGACAUGACUCCACUCUGUAGUUUUAUUAUUAACAAAAUCCAACUCCAGAAUAAGGAGAAAAUAUCGGGUACCCUAACAGUACCACGUCAUCGGUGCUCUGAACCAUUCAGGCGUCGACACCUGUCCACGGGACCUGCCACGUCUGCUCUCUCUUCUCUUCGACUUCUGCGCUUCUGUCUCUCUCCUCUCUCUCCUCACGAGAAAAUAGGGGGCGGGCUCGGCUCAGCUUGGCUCGGCUCGCUGCAAAAGAAAAGACAGGUCACGACUCCCGCCUAAAAGAUUUCUCUCUCCUAGUUGAAAUUUCUGCAAUUUUCUUUCUCUCUCACUUUCUCUCUCCUCGCAGGAGAACAAACAGAGAACGAUCGAGACCUGCGUUCUCCUCUCUCCCCUCCGCCUCCGCUGGUUGCUUCCAUUGCCCCCACCCUGACGCCGACGCCGACGCCGACGCCGACGCUGACGCCGCCGACGCUCCUCCUCCUCCCUCUCGCGACGUCCGCUCUGCUCUCUCUUUCUUCCCCCUCCGCGAAGUCGUGCCUCUCUUCCAGCGAAACGCGACGCCGACGGCCCUCCACCUCCGCCUCCGCCGGUUGCCUCCGUCGCCCUCGACUCCGACGCCGACGCCGACGCCGACGCCGACGCCGACGCAACCUCCGCCUCCCUCUC
rnacentral:lncRNA from 1 species